AUGCCUUCUGUUUCCGGUUUAACCCAGACUAUCUCAAACACUGUUGGACAGAAUGCUAACAUGCAGAGUAUCUCUGGUGUUUCACAUAACCCAGUGGGGAAUUCAAUGGGACAAGGGAUUCCCUCCAAUAUGUUUGUCAAUUCUCAGAGACAAAUGCCAGGCAGGCAACAGGUUGUUCCUCCACAGCAACAGCAGCAGUCCCAAAAUCCUCAGCGGUAUCUUUAUCAGCAGCAGAUACAACAACAGCUUUUAAAGCUCUCAUUUUGAAUUUAUCGGACAUGAAUUUUAAAAAUAUAUGUAUAACUGGACAAUGCAUUUGACACUAUGGUAACUAAUCAUCAGCCAAUUGAUUUUUAUGGGAAGAAAGAAAUUAGCAAGUGGACUAACUCUGAGGCACUUAAGGUUUGGUGUGCUGAUAAAUCAUCACCUUGCUGGAAAAUCUCAUGAUCACCUCCUCGAUGCUAAUUCUGUAAGGCAUGUGAAGUGUUUCAUCCUUAACUUGUCAAGGAACAAGGACUCUGAUGCAUGGCUAUCUAUAUUUUAUGAUUGAGAUGGUUUAGUUUAAAGAUUUUCCUGGUUAGGAGGUAAAGUGUCACUUUUGUGCUUUUCUUCCAUGAUAAAUUGUUUGAGCCUUUUUUAAAAAAAAUAUAUAAUGAUCACUUGUUGGAGGAGGGUCUCUCUGUCUGUUUGAAUGAUUACAUAACGUUGAGAUGGAGUUCCUAGUACUCCAAGUCCAAAAGGACUUGUAUUCCUAUGUAAGAAAAUACUAAUGGUCUAUCUAGGAUAGGGAAAACCUAUUAAAGCUCCUUAUUCUUUAGGAACAAUAAAAUACUAAAUAGAAAUAAAACCAAGACCUACAAUAUUCCAUAAUUUUCAGCAAGUGUGAAAAUUACAGAAAUACCCUUGUGUGCAGAAAACAUUCAAAAAAUACAUGAAUUCUAAUCUUUGGUUGGCUGUAUCAAAAUUUUUGUAGCAUCCCUAGAUUCUACAGCAGAGACUGGACAUUCAAAUGGUGCUGAUUGGCAAGAGGAGAUCUACCGAAAGGUAAUUUCUGUAGUUUACUGUUCAUGCAUGUCAUCGUCUUGCAAGAUUUCAAUGGAAAAGGUCUCCUGGAAUUUGGUACAAGGGAGUUUUAUUCAGCUAUUGUUGUGAUUAGUUAGGAAGCAUUGUAAGUUCCAUGAUUGCCGUAACUAAGAAACGAUAAAUUACUGAUAAGAUGAUUAAAGGUAAAUAUUCAGAUUUCUAGGUCAAGAGGGUUAUUUUCUUGGUACUGAUUUUUUCUAUUGCAAAUCUCUCCCUUUCAAUUUUUUCCCUGUAUUUCCAUACAUUUAUUGUGUGGUGAAUUAUUAUUUUAUUAUUUCCAAUAAGUCCAAUUGACAAUACUUCUUACUGUAAUAGACAGACUAGAAAACAAGAGUGAAUUGUUUCUGAAUAGUCAUCGUUAUAUUUGGUUAAGUGAACAGUUAUUUUCAGGAUUACAAUCAAAUUUGUUCUGAAACAUGUGACAAUGGAAGAAAGGAAAAUAAGUGGACCUAAUCCAUUGAAUCAUGACCAUGUCCAGUAUUGUUGAAUUUUAUAGAAAACGAGGUUGAAAUUCUGAAUCGUUUAAUGGCUGUAGUUGCAAUUCAUAACUGCAUAUUUGAAAUUUUUUAACUUAACUUUUUAUUUAAUUUAAAUUUUUAAUUAAAUCAUGUGAGAAUUAAUUUAAUUUAAAUCGAUUAAUUUUAUAAGUUCAAAUACAAUCUUAAUAAUCGAUAAAAAUAUGAUUUAACUUUAAAAAAAACUUCAAAAUUAUAAUUUUUUAAAAAAUUAUUGAAAUAAUGACAAAUUGGAUCACCCCCGACCUGGAUCAUGAACUUUAUUGAGUUUCAUAAAUUUUUAUAUUUAAUUAUAUGAUAAAAAUAGAUGCUCAUAAAAUUAAACAUCAACCUAAAAACUAGCACUUAUUUGAGACAAUUAUCCUAUAAAGCAAAUAAAAAUUAAUAAUGUAAAUCAUUUCCCAACUAAUUUAAUAUUAAAUGAUGAAAUUAAAAAGAAAUAAAUUAAAAAAAAUUAAAAGACCAAAAAAACAUCAUAUUGGUGGCUAAACUUGUCAAAUCUAUGAAUCAGGUAAGUUCAGUUAGUACACUAAACAUGUGAACUGGGUUAUGGACUCCACCGGGAUAGUGAUUUUUUUAAUUUAUUUUUUAUUUAACUACAUAAUAACAAAAAUAGAUGAUUGUAAAAUCAAACACCGACCCAAUAUCGAGAUUUUUUUAAAUUACAAUAGCCACGCAAAAAGCAAAACGAAACUAGUUAUGAAACGGAAUUCCCAAUUAAUCUAGUAUAUAAGGAUAAAAAAAACUAGUUUAAAAAAUUAAACUUGUCAGACUAGCAACAUAAGUCAAUCAGUCAAACAUGUGAAUAGGUCCAUAGACUUUAUAAAGUUUAAUAAUAACUUUUUUAAAAAACUAUUCUUUUUAACUAUAUAUAAAGUUUAAUAACAUAACUUUUUUUAAAAAAAAACUAUUUUUUUAACUAUAUAAGAAAAAAAUAGACAAUGAAAAAGUCAAGUUCAAUUAAAAAAAGAUAUCACAACAAACUCGUAAACUAGGAUAACCGGGUUAUCCUGGCAAACCAUGUUAACCUUAUAGAAAGGUAAAAUCUAAAGUUAUAAAGCUAAGAAGUGUUUACCAAAGUCGUGACAUCCAUUGACUUGAGUGAGAACAAUAGAAAACAAUGGUGAGUAGUUUCCGUGAGACAAAGUAACUGAACUUGACCAACCCCUGAAUCUUGUCUGAAGGGGUAACUACACAAUCCUUUGCAUCUUUGCAUGCAAUCAAUAACUAUAUUCUCUAUUGAGUUUUCAGCAUUGAUUCCACUCUGCUAUUAUAUGCUGUCCUCUGCCAUUUUAUUUUUUUAUUUUUUUAUCAAUUCUCUCAAGUUUGCUUAUGUUGCUUUCUGACUCUGGCACCUGAAGAAAUCAAGCAUAUGAUUGAUAAUGUUUUGCUGGUUAUAUGUACUUCCUAGAUCAAAGUUAUGAAGGAAACGUAUUUGCCUGAAAUAAAUGAAAUGUAUCAGAGAAUUGCUACCAAGUUACAGCAGGUAAAUUGUCUUUGUAAUUUUUUCUGAUUUAUUUGCUCACACAUGAUUCAUAAACCCCCACAGUUGAACUUUUGUAUUAAUUUUCCCCAUCAGCAUUGCUUGUCACUGUAUCAUCUGCACUAAUUACCCCCCCCCACCCCCAACCACCCCACAACCAUGCAUUGACACAGAAGAAUUGGAAUAGAAACAUUUUUUUCACUUAUGUUUUACUAGUUUAGCUACAAAGGGUCAACGCAAUUUUUAAUUCUCGUGUAUGUUAACUUUGCUUUCCAGCAUGACCCUCUUCCGCAACAACCGAAGUCAGAACAGCUUGAAAAGCUGAAGGUAUUCAAGGUCAUGUUGGAGCGCUUGAUAGCAUUCUUACAGGUCUCUAAAAGCAACAUCACACCUGCUUUCAAGGAGAAAUUGGGUUUCUAUGAGAAGCAGAUUGUAGGUUUUCUAAACCCAAGCAGAUACAGGAAGCCUAUUCCUAAUCUACAGCAAGGACAACUUCCCCAACCUCAUAUUCAACCUAUGCAGCAACCCCAAUCUCAAGUUCCUCAAUUGCAGUCCCAUGAAAAUCAACUGAAUCCCCAGUUGCAAUCAAUGAAUAUGCAAGGUUCUGUACCAAAGAUGCAGCAGAACAAUAUGUCAAGCUUGCUGCAUAAUUCGCUUUCAACUUUAUCUGGGGAUUCGACGUCACAAUCAAACAUGAUGAAUCCAAUACAACCAGGCUCCAAUUUAGAUUCUGGACAAGGAAAUGCACUGAGCUCAUUGCAGCAGACACCUGUAGGAUCUGUACAACAGAAUCUCGUGAGCAUUUCCCAACCAACCAAUGUUAACACAUUGUCAACACAAAGUGGGGCGAGUAUGCUGCAGCCAAAUAUUCCCCUUCAGUCGAAUUCCAAUUGAUUCAACACCAGCAUCUAAAACAGCAGCAGCAGCAGCAUGAACAACAACUGCAAACACAACAGCUUAAACGAUUGCAGCAACACCAGAAUUUAAUGCAGAAUCAACAGAUGCAGCAGCAGCAGCAAUUACACCAGCAAGCUCCAUCUCCUAUGCCAGGAGAUUCUGACAAACCAGUUUCUGGUAUUUCCUCACUCUUAAAUACUGGAAAUAUUGUACACCAACCAUCUGUUGCACAAGCACUGGCUCCCUCCCUUGCAAUUGGCACUCCUGGGAUAUCUGCAUCACCUUUGCUUGCAAACUUUACCAGUCCUGAUGGUGCUCAUGGCGGUGCUUUGACAACUGUUUCUGGCAAGUCAAAUGUUACAGAGCAACCACUUGAGUACUUGAUUGAAGCGGUUAGUGAUGCUCUCCUUUUGGUUUUACUCCACCCCACCCUUAUUUUGGAGGUUUCUGAAAAAGAAAACUUCUUUGUGAAUGAGAUGGUGAUGCUGUAAUUUUUUUUCCCAGGUGAAAUCUCUGUCUCCCAAAGCACUUAGUGCAUCUGUCGGUGACAUUGGCUCCGUUGUCAGUAUGAUUGACAGAAUUGCUGGUUCUGCAGCUGGUAAUGGAUCUAGAGCUGCAGCCGGUGAGGAUUUGGUAGCAAUGACAGGAUGUCAUCUUCUUUCCUUUUUGUCUUUUAUAUUUUUCACGUGUUUCUCACAAGAUGGGAACUCGAGGGAAUAAAAAGUGCUGCUGGAACUUCUUGUGUAACACAUCUUCUUUCGAUGAUGACCUCUUGGAUGGCUGCAUGAAGCUUGUUCCGCUUUAAAUUUCAAGGUUAAUCUAUUGCUAUGAGCACUGGUGUUUCAAUUUGAAACUUGAGUUGCAACUGAACUUAAAUGAAUGGUGUUGGAUUUGGGGCCUUCUAUUAGUUUUAACUUGUACAGGGUUGAAGUGAUAUUAAUCUUAAUAGUGUAUGGUUUCCUAGUUUCUCAGUCUGAAGUUGAAUGUUUUGGUGAUAUCUCGACAUCCAAAAUCACAUAGACAGCUACUGCUGGCACUUGCAGUAGCCAAUGAGCACUGUAGAGUAUAUAUUGCAGCGUGAGAUAAGGUUACGUCAUUGCAUUUUCAUAAAUUAAAGGGAUUUCUCUUCUUUUCUUUGUCAAUUACAGUGCUAUUGUAAUGUUUUCACAGAGUCCCCCCGGUUUGCAACUAAUUCACUUAUAUAUCUUGGAGCAUAGCCAUAGCCAUAAAUGGAAGGUUCUUCCGGUUCAAGAAAAUUAACCACGAAGCUCGUAACUAGAAUGGCCACGUAAACUCCUAUAUCCUGUUAUCUAGAACCUUAUUUAAUCUGCUGUGAUGAAACAUAAGCUAUAGGGUCAAGCCUGAUAUUAUUAGUGAAGUUUUUUUUUGUGUUUUUUUGUGAUAGGAACAUUAAAGAAAAAAAGUAUCCGGCUGGUUCAUGUGCGAAAAUAUGAGGCAUGUUAAGCAAUUGGACCAGACUAUCACAUAUCAAAAUCAUAUGUUUCAAUGAUACUUGUUGCAAGAGUCUCCUUAAACAAUCCAAUGUGCUUUACUUGAUAUGUUUUUUUUUUUUAAUCUCAUUUGAGUAACACAAUUGAGGUACCCUUUUCAGUUCAUUCGUAAAUCUUUCCAAAACUGAAAUUUUGGCAGGUAACUUUUGAUGGGUCAUUGGUGAUUGUAUUAAUUUGGCUACAUAAAUAGUGCAUACUGUGAAAUGAUGUUUGCUGGAGCAAUGGGGCUGGAUGAAGGAGGGGAUUUUCGAGCUCAACGAAGCAGUGGAUGUCUGGUGCAGCAGCUGCUCCAGAUGGUCCUCACUAUUGGGGCAGCCUAUCGAGAUUGUUUUCAGGGACUUUUUUAAAGACAUUGAAAACUACAAUCUUGCUUUGAUUAGUGUCAAAUCUAAGCUAAGAAAUCAUGGUUUUGUUAAGCUUUGCUAUCAUCAGAGGCUUGAUAAUGGAAGGAUUAUUGUACUCUCUUACAUACACAUAAUGUUGUGCUGAUGAGCCAAAGAAGUUCUCCAUAGACUCGCCAACUAAGAGGAAGUUAUCGACAUCCUCUUCAUGUUAUAACAUGAUUAAGUAAAGGUAAGAUAAAAACAGUUAAAAGAUGAAUAUGAAGUUUAAAAUGAAAGGGGAGAAAGCAAACCCUAAACUCAUAAGGAUCCAUUAAUCAAAUUUAGCAUGGGUUUUGAUGAUAGGGAAACAUCUGAUUAGAUGUGGCACUUAUUUGAUAAAAUAUUUGUAAGAAGAGUGAAAUAACAUUGCAAUGAUAACUGAGACGCAUAUAAUUACUUUUCAGAAUCUAAAAAAAAAAGAUUAACAAACAUCUUAUGCCAUUCAUGACCAUAUUAUAAAUUUUGAGGACUUAAAAGGUCUAUAAGUGCCAACAUUUGUCUAACAACAGCAGCAACAACGACCUAGACAAAAACUCCCUGAAACUUAAUCAUGUUAAUUUUCAAUAACGAAGAGGUUUUACAUGGUUAAGCAUGAACUCAACCAUAUUAAAAAAUCUGGACAGCCCCACUGCAAGAUGUUCAAUUCGUGCUUCGUACGUAAAAGAAAUACAAAGAUUCAGAUCCAUCCUAAAAACACACAUAACUUAUCAACCUCAACCUACAGGCAAACAAAGGUUGAAACUGAGGUAAGACAUCUAAAGCAAAGGACAUUUCAGCCUCUGUUUUUCCUGACAUUUUUUUUCAUCAAGUGACCUCUACAAAGACCUGCUGUAACAUAUAUGUAUGACCAACACAAACAAACAUGCAAAAAGAAAUUUUUUCAGGGGAACCCAAGUCGAAAAAACUUUUUAAAAAAGUGUUGUCUUCGAAAUCAAAGCCUUCUAUCAUCAUAUGAAAUUUUUUUAAAAGGAAAAUCCUCGUACAACCUAACACAAAGCAAGAAUCCAACAAAAUCAAAGACUAAUGAAAAGAAAGACCAAAGAACUGAAAACAAACCAAGGCUGGAAUUAAGGGAAGAAUCUAAAGCAAAAUGAAACUCCAGCCUCUUAUUUCCGCGGCACAAAGUUUUUUCCUCACCCAAGUUACCUCUAGAAAAACCUGUUGCAAUAUAUAUAUAUAUAUAUGGAUAAGCAACAUAAAUAAACAAGCAAAAACUAAAACUUUUUUAAGGAAACCCAUGUCGAAAAAACCAUAAAGACAAUGUUGCCUUUAAAAGCAAAGCUUUCUAUCAUCUCUAAAGGUAAAAAGAUGUGUUCCCAAGCACAAAAGAAAUAUUUUUUUCUGAGGGAAAAAACUUUAACAACCUAAUACAAAUCAAGCACCUAGCCUAGCCAAAACAAUUGAAGAAAAAAGGUCGAUCUAGACUUUUCCCAAACACGUAGCAUGCAAGAAACACAUGUAAAGAAAACCAAGUAAACUUCCUUUCAAGACACGUGCCACCUUGUGCGAAACAAAGACAACACCACCUCUAUAAAGAAUGGAUAAUAGAGGGCUGAAGCUAACCAAAAGACUAUGCCCAAGAAACCUCAUAACUGUAGCAAAAAAGGCAGCCAAAGCCUCAAUAAACACACAUAUAGCCUAACAAUGCAACAAAAAACAGAGAGACAAUCAACAAAGAGUAAGGCAUUUUCCGAAGAAACAAAGAAAUUUAAUACCCUAAACUAAGCAGCAGGUAGAAGGCAAAAACUGAGCGUAAAUUUUCAGGAAGGGACGAACAAAAAACACCAAAAAGAAGGUAGAGAAAAAUGCAGACUCAAAUUCACAACACCCAUUUUCUUUUCAUUGGAACACUUUAGAUAGUUUAUUAAAUUUAUAAUGAUCUGAUUUCUAUGCAUAUAUAAAAAUCAACUUAAUGAUCAACUCUCUAUAAUUUCAGCAUGACUAAAAAAUCCAAACUAAUAAACUAUUAAUUAUUUUAGUCAUUUUAAUAAACAUUUUAGUUAUAAGUGACAAAAUAUUUUCAACAAUUCAUAUUGAUGCAUUAACAUGUAAUUUUAGAUUGUUUAACUUAUUAGUUUCUUUAUGAGUUACUUAUUGUAAAGCAUGUUAUAUAUCUCUAAGCAUUUUUAUUUAAUAUAAUUAUGUCAAAUUCAUUUUUGCCCGAUGUAUAAUAUAAAAUAUUCAUGGCUUUAGCAUUUAUGAAAAGUAACUUUUUAUCGUUGUCCGUAUAUUUACUUAUAGUUUUAGAAAUUUCAAUACUAUUUUCAAUUUUUAUAGGUCCAUGAGAUCUAUUUUGUAUGGAUAACUACAAAUUAAAAUAAAUAGAUUCACGAUAAAUUAUCAUAAAACAAUUUAUUACCUACUCCUUGGUGCUAGCAAUGUAAUUGUAAUAUUAUUUUUCAAGCUUACUCAAUCUCUGAUUCUUGAUAACACAACCAAGAAUAAAUGAUGAACUCAAAUUUUUAUGUUACUCUCUGUAAGAAUUUUGACUCAAGAAAUGUAAAAGAGAAGAGUUUUAAAAAGAUUAGAAGUUUUCUUCAUUAUCAAAACUAUGUCAGAAUUUUCUCUUUUUAUAGGUAAUUUUGACAUUUAAUUUUAAAAUAACUUUUAAGACAAAAGAUUACAACUUUCUAGUUUAAAAGUAUACGAAUAUAUUUCAAGUAGAGUUUUAACAAACAUAACUUUUCAUCCACAUCCUAACAAUCCCUCCACGUGAUAAAAUAAAAUACAAAGUAGAUACGAAAAUAGAAAGUAGGAGCGAAAAGUCAUUGCAUCGAGCAAGAUAGGUUUUGACCUUGAACCUUCCAUAGUCGAACUAUUGGAUUCACUCGGCUAACCAGCGAAUAUGAUGUCUUGAGUUGUUUAGCUGUUUGUGUGAAACCAAAUAAUAGAGAUUACACAAUUCAUUUUCUUAUAAUUUUGGUUCUCACAGUUAUAUUCAUUUUGGCCUUGAAUACGUCUUGAUUUCAAAGAGCAUUAGAGAAUUUGCAUUAUCAAUUCUCAUAGAAGUGGUCUCGUUUCAAACUCACAUAGGUAAUUCUUAUUAAGAGUAUCAUGUAAUACUUCUCAAGCUAUAAAAGUCAUUAAAAGCUUAGCUUAUCCUAUUUUGCUGCUGAUAGCACUUUAUAUAAUAUAAAUGGGUAAGAGGGACACUAUUGAAUUGACAUAUGAUUUGGUUGUCUAUUUGAACCUAGAACUUGAAAUCUCCAAUAAACUAGAUAAUUCAUUGAACUAUCUUAAUCUCAUUCUCCUUAGUGAUUAUCGACUUGCUCUAUUGUUAAGUAUUUUAUUAGCGAAUCCAUGAUAUUAUCAUUUAACUUUACAUGGUCAAUAAAGAUAAUCUCAUUUUAGAUCGAUUAUCUUACAAUAUUGACAAUUGUAUCAAUAUAUAUAUAUAUAUUAUACCCUUUCAAUUGCAAAUUAGCUAUUGAAAAAUUACAAUAUUAUUUCUUGAUUUACUCAAUAUUUUUAUUUUUGAUAUUACAUCCAAGAAUAAAUAAUAAGCCAUAAUUUAUCUGAUAUUUUCUAUAAAAAAUUGGAUAAAAAAAAUAUAAUAAAAAAUGAGAUAUUUUAUUUUAUUUUAUUAGAUACAACAGAGUGUGCAACGAAAACAUGGUGGUAUUUAUUGAUUUUUGAAGUGGACUUUAAAUGAUAGUUUAAGAAAUGAAAUUUUGGAGAUAAGUUUUGAAUAAUUUGUUUGAUCAUGAUGGUAAGACUUCGGUUCUUAAAGUUUAAAUUUGAGGACGAAUUUUGUUUAACGGGGGAAGUGUUGUAAGACCCAAACUUUUGGCCCAAACCUAAGCCCAAGUCAGCCCAAACCCAACCUAAGUUAACCUAGGUAUUUAAGGAAGAGUUGAAAGAGAAUUACUUUUCUCUCUUCUAAUUCUUGUAACCGCCGUGACCCUCCCCUACUCAAACCUAAGAUUUUAGUUUUUGAUCUUGAGUUUUCGGUUCAAGAAAGGUGAAAUAGCAAGUAAGUGGUUCUCUUUCAUAUUACUUUUGAUUAUAGGUUGUUUAUGGAAUGAUUAAAGAAGAGAUUAGGGUUUUAAGGCUUAGAAUUUUAUGUUGUUAAGAUUGAUUUAUGAUUAUUAAGGGUUAAUUUAAUAUAGGUGAUUAAUUAGUAUGUUGUUAGAAAUAAGAAUUUGUGAGUUGAUUUGUUUAAAUUAAUUCUUAUGGGGUUAAGAAAUUCAUUUUUACCUUUCUGGAAAAUCUGGACGGAAUGGUCUUGAGGUUGAAGAUAAUCAAAUUUUAUUUUGGUCCUUGAUUUAUGAAAAUUUCAGUUUAGUCCCUAAACUUUGGAAAAUUACAAUUUGACCCCUAAAUGUAUUUUGAGAUUCUGGACAGUGUUAUUAUGAGGUUAAUGAUGAUGAAUCUCAGUUUUAUAAUUGAUUUGGAAUAUUUUUAGUUUGGUCCUUUAAUUUUGGGAAUUUACAUUUUAGUCCCUAAACUUCAUAAAAUUACAGUUCGGUCCCUGAUUCAUUCUAGACAGAAUUGAGGAUGGUUUAUGGGUGAAAUUUCAGUAUGGUUAUGCAUUUAUAGUUUGGUCUAGUUUUGAUAAAAUUACGUUUUGAUCCCUGUUUUGGAUAAUUGUCGUUUUAGUCCCUAAACCUAAGAGACUAAACAUGGUUUUAUUUUAUGCAUUGAAAUCUUUUAAUUGUGUUGCUUUGAGUUGCUUUUGAGUAUAUUUUGUAUAUUUAUUGUAGGUUCUCCUAACGAUCCUCAAUAGGUUUUUCGGGUCUUUCAUCUGAUAUUCCUUUUGGUUCUAUAUUUUCCGAGUGAGUGGGAUAAUCUUUAAUAUGCAUAUAUUAUAAAUAAAUAUGUAUGUUGAUUAUACAAUGAGUACAACUAGUUAAUUUCUUGAAUAUUUAUAUAUGUUGCUUUAUUGUCCGAGUACUCAUUUAUUCUUGAAUUUGCACUCGCAAUCUUCGAAUUAAAUUCUAUUUGAUAUGAUAUACGUUUCUUUGAUGAUUCUGUAAAUAUCUAUUAUGCCUUGAUAUAGGACCUGUCAGUAACUCCAUGCUAACGGAGAGUAGUUAGCCUAUGUGCACAUAGUAUUCUAUAUAUCUAGCUGGUGAGAGAGGCAUUAGCCUGUGGCAACUGAUCAUCCCACAGUGGUCACCUUCGGGUGUCAUCUGGUCAUUUUUUAGUGUCAUCUGGUCAUCUUCGGGUGUCAUCUGAUCUCUGACAUGUAUUCCACUACGUUAUGAUAAUAUGUUUAGUAUGUAUAUGUAUAUCAAGAUAAAUCAUCUUGCAAACUAUUAAUAUCUAAAAUAUCUAAAAUGUAUAUUAAAUAUUAUUCCCUCACUGAGUUGGUUGAACUUACCCCUCAUUCUUAAUAUUAUUUCAGGUUCUUAGUUUCUGAUAGCAGUUGGACUUGUAGAGUGUUCCUGCUUCUUCAAUUUUGGUCGGUAUGCCUUGCUUGUUUUGCGAGGCUUUCCUUUUAGUUUUGAUUCGAUGUCUUAGACACUCCACUAUUACCUUGUUUUAAUUAAGUUUGGAUUUUGACAAUGUAAUGGGUAUUAUAGAUUAUUGUUUUUGUUUUAAUUACUAAUGAGGAGUUUUAAACUAUCUUUUGGUUUUAUAAGUUUUGAAUAAUAUAAUAUUUCUGAAGAUUAUAAAAUGCUGCAUAUUUUUGAAUAAAUUGUUCUUUUGAUAUGUCUGUUCUAAGACUUAGCGUAGAUGAGGUGUCCUUUCGACACCGCUUCUACGUUGCCGAUCAUGGACCCGAGAUUCGGGUCGUGAUAUCUCUCCCAGGAUAGUGUGGAGAUUAGCACGGUUCAGUCGUGCUUGAUGAAAAAGAAGGAUACCCAUUACUGGACUGUUAGUGUCACAUCGUGGGUGAGAGAUUCGUGACAAUGAUCUGCUGCCGUUUCCUUUGAAUCGGUGGGAUGAAGGAGAUGAAUAGCUUGUUUUGAGACGACGCUUUUUCACCCGAAAAUGACUAUUUUAAUUUUGCCUCUAGAUUAGCUUUCGGUGUCAUUUACAAAACCGUUAUUGGUUUUCAAUUUAAUUAAUUUAGUUUUUAAUUCCUCUUUAACUUUUAAUUUUUUAAAAAAUUAUUCUUGAAAAAAUCAAUUAACCCCUUUAUAGUAUCACAAUCUAUUCACUUUGGUACUUGGAUUUUAAUUUCUUGCAAUGUUUACCCAAAUCAGCCCCAAACUUUAGUAUUUCUUCAAUUAAACCCCAACUUUUAUUAAUUAAACUAAUUCAAAGCUUAUGUAAGUCCCCAAACUUAUCAAUUCUUUCAAUAUCUGACCAAAUUAACUUCUAAAUUUAUAAUUACAUCUUUAUUGGUCCUUAAAUUCACAAUUUGUGUUAUCUUGAUCCAAUUCUCAAAUUAUUAUAUUUUCAUUUUUUAUUUUUAUUAAUUUUUUUAAAAAAGUUAAUAAAAUAGGUUAUAACACAUGAUAUAUGGUUGGUUUAAAGGAACCGAUUGAUUUAUAUAUCAGAUUACAAAUCGAGAGGAAUCACGGUUGUUUUAUAAAACUGCGAAAACUUUCAACCAUAGAUGUUUUAUUCAUGCGUGUUUGAAAUGUGAAUCAUAUUGUUUAUUCUUACUAGGAAAGGCCUUUUACCUGUUCCGGAAGCUCUGUUAGCAAUCUUUCUGUUACUAAUAUAUAUAUUUUUCAAUUCAAUUUUUCCUUCUCCAGGAAACAUUUUAAAUUCCUCUACAUCCUUAGGCUUUGGUUCUAUUGAAUGCCACCUUCCAUAAUCGACCAGCGCAGCUGCCAUUGGAUGAUUUGAUUUACUCUCGAUGCUUGAUACCCUGAGAAACUUGCAUAAACAAUAUUACUUGCCAGUGAAGAGUAAAGUUCGCCAUAAUUGAAGAAUUAUGGACCUAGUCUUCACCAAUAAAGUAAUGCUAGUGGAAUCACUGCUACGCCAGCUGUCAUGAAUAUGAACAGUGAACUAAAAUGAAAACUUUCCCACAAAAUGAAAGGUAGGAUUGUCUAGCAAUGGAGCUGACGGUUCAUUCUAAACGAAUGAUGUGAAGGGCUGUCCAAAUACAGUUUUUUGGGGGAAAAAAAGAAAAAUCCAACCACAUCAAUUUAAUAAAUAAAUUGAACCGAUUUGAAUGGCAUGUUCAAAUUAAAUGUUACGAUUCACAGUUUAAUUCAAUUCAUUUUUUUUUUAUUAAAAAACCCAAUUUCAUCCUUGGGUUUUUUAGUUGAUCUUUUUAGAUAGACUCUAAUGUAAUGUGCAUGGUUUUUUUUUUUUUUAGGUUUUUUUAAUUUUUAAUUUUUAAAAAUCAAUUGUUUGGUUUCAUUCCGGUUUAAUUAUUUUUUAUUCUCUUAAAUCUAAAACAAAUUUAAGAUCUUUUAAAACUUUCUAAUCGUUUUUUUUUAAUUUGAUAUUGGUUGGUUUUUUCAAUUAAUUUUAUGUUGAUUUUUUAAAGUUAUUUGGUUAUUUUAUUCACUCAUGGAUAUAAGUAUCUCGUUAUAAGAACUAAAAAGAAAAAAAACAAUUACAUGUCGCAGCCAUGUUUUCACAUGGCCUCCGUAAAGUUCGAACAUUGAAAUGGACUCUAGACAAUAAGAAACUGUUUGUAAUUUUAGCAGAAUUGUUUUUUAAAAUGUUUUUUUGUUUAAAAUUAUUAUAAUAAUAUUUUUUAAAUUAAACAUCAAUAUAUCAAAAUCAUCUAAAAUAUUAAAUAAAUUAAUAUUAUUAUUUUUUUUUGAAAAUCCGGUUAACUGCAGGGUAAAGAUGUGUUUGAAGUAUGGUAGUGGUAGUUUUUCAAAGUGAUUUUUACUCGAAAAUAUAUCAAAAUAAUAUUUUUUAUUUUUAAAAAAUUAUUUUGACAUCAGCCCAUCAAAACAAUGUUCAUAAAAUUGAGCAUCAACCUAAAAAUAAACACUUAUUUGAAAACAUUAUUCCUCGAAAGCAAACAAAAAGCAAUAAUGCAGUUCAGUUACUAACCAAAUCAAUAUUAAAUGAUAAAAUAAAAUAUUAAAAACAAUUAAAAGACAAAAAAAAUAUAUUCUAAUGGUGGGUAAACUCAUCAAACCUGUAAAUCGAGUAAGCCGAGCUAAUAUGUAAAACCUGUAAAUUGGGUCAUAGACUCUACUAGAAUUAUAAUUUAUUUUUUAAUUAUUUUUUAUUUAACUAUAUGAUAAUAAAAAUAGAUAAUUACAAAAUCAAAUACCAACUUAACACCGAGAUUUUUUUAGCUCGUGAUAACAUCACAAAAUGUGAAACAAAACCAAUUAUGAAACUAAAUUUACAGUUAACUCAAUAUCCAAUAAUGAAAAAAAAAAUAAUUUAAAAAAGUUAAUCUUGUCAAAUCCACGAACCAAGUUAACUAGCCAAACAUAUCCUGAAAUUUAUAAAGUUUAAUAAAAUAACUUCUUUUAAAAUUUAUUUUUUUAACUAUAUAAGAAAAAAAUAAACGAUAAAAAAAUCAAGUUUAAUUAAAAAAAAAAGACACCCCCACAAAACUCAGUAAAUUAGGGCAACUUAGGUUACCUAGCAAACCCAUAAACUAUGUUAACCUUAUAGAAAUGUAAAAUAAAAAGAAACAAAUUAUAAAGUUAAAUUCUCAACCAUCUUAAUAUUAAAAGAUAAAAUCGACAAAAAUAAAUUUGAGAAAAAAUCAUAACAAAAAUUAAAAAACAAAAAGAAAAAUGAGAGAAAGCAAAACACUAUGAUUACUAUUGUCAUUCAUAAUGCAAUCUGUGUAGGUGAAUAAUGGUUUUCUCACACCCUUUAAUUUUUGUUAUUGUAUAAAGUUUAAUAACAUGAUUUUUUAUAUAUAUUUUUUAAUUAAAUGAGCAAAAAAACUCAUAAAAAAGUCGAGUUUAAUUUUUUAAAAAAAAACAACAAAAAAAAAAAAACUCGUAAACCAGAGCACCCUAGGUUACCUUAGCAAACUCGUAAACUACACUAAUCUCAUGUAAAGGAAAAUCAAAAGAAGCAAAUUACAAAGCUUAUUUUUCAACAAUUCUAAUUUUAAAAGAUAAUAUUGAUAAAAAUAUAUUGAUAUCUGAUUUCAGUCUGAUUAUCUGCGUAAAAUAUCUCAGAAGAUGUUUGCAAUGGAGAUCAAGUCUCAAAAUACCAUACCCACUGGCAAUGGAUCGAGAUUUGACAAAUUAAUACAAUGCUGUAGCCAAACUAAUACAAUCACCAACGACCCAUCAAAAGUGAAAUGAUGUUUGCUAGAGUAAUGGAUGUCUAGUGCAGCAACUGCUCCAGAUGGUCCUAGCAGUAUAUCGAGAUUGUUUUCAGGGACAUUUUUAAAGACAUUGGAAACGACAAUCUUGCAGCGAUUAAUGCCAAGUAUGAACACGUCAAAUCUAAGCUAAGAAAUCAUGGUUUUGUUGAGCUUUGCUAUCAUCAGAGGCUUGAUGAUGGAAGGAUUAUUGUACUCUCUUACGAACAUAUAAUGCUGUGCUGAUGAGCCAAAGAAGUUCUCCAUAGACUUCCUAACUAAGAGGAAGUUGCCAUCUAUUUCUAACUCAACAAGGAAAAGAGUCUUGGGCAAGUCAAACAUGAAUUUUGACCAGUUAGGAAACCAAUGGCUGGCAUGUUUUUGGGUGUUUUCUUUUUUUGUUUUCUGAGAGCCAUAACUGGCAUUUUUGUUCUCUCAUCAAGUGCAGACGACACCAAAGGCAGAACACUCUGGUGUUCUUGACAAUUCGACACAUUGCUUUCUGAGGAUUAGGUGAAUAUGGUUCAGUCUAUGCCAUAAGUAUGUCAAGCUACCAUUAUUUUUUAUUUUUAUUUUUGUAUUCUUUUUUGAACAGUAACAAAAUUCAUUAAUUUAGGAAAGGGCAAAGCCCAGAUAACAAAUAACAUCCACACUUGCAAGGAUUUAUUCGUCAGGGAUAUUGAUUUGUUCGUAUCCUAUCUCUUUGAAAAAAAAUGUGGAUUAAUUAAUCUAUGCUCAGUAUAGUAUUUCCAGGACUAUUCUUUCUUUAAUAUGUUAAUUAACACCCCGAGCCUGCCCAGUUUUUUUUUUUUUUUUUUGUAGUUUGCUAAUGUGAUGUAGAAUUAUAUAUAAAUCAAUCUCAUCAGAAGAUGCAAAUAUGGGCAUAAAAUAUAUCGUGGGAACUUCAAUUUAGUCGCUGAAAUAUACUUAACUUCAUAAAAAUUGAAUUCUCAAAUAUUAAGAAAGAAAUACAAUACAAAAUAGCAGACUAUACAUUACAUUCAGGUAAGAAUUCACAUCCAUGCCCGUAUAUAUUAAAGCACUACUAUCUUGGUGAUAAGCUGCCAGCUGCAUUCAUUUUCUUUUUUUUUUUCUGACAAAUAUACUUGUUAAGUUACAUUGCAUACAAGUAAGAAUUCAUAUACAUUCCCAUAUUAAGCUCUAUUAUUUUUGUGAGCUUCGUCCAUUUUCUUGAUUUCUGACGAGUAUAUUUAUCGGCGAAAGACAACAGAAAAUUGUGCAGACCACACGUUUAUCCACAAUGCAGCAAAACAAACACUAUUCUGCAGAAGCUUUAAAUGACCAAUCCACGGCUUUCUCCAGUCUUGGAGUUUCUACUGCAUAUACAAUUGUUAAAAGAGCCAAUUUGUUAUUAGUCUUGGAAACAAAAACAAUAUAGAGAGAUAUUUUUUUUAAAAAAAAAAACGAGACUGCUUCAUAGUUUCUGCAGUCUUUACAAGAUGAGUGCUAUUCAUUUUCAAGUAAUACAGGAAAGCAUGUAUGAUAAGUAGUGGAUAUAAACUUUGAAUGUACAGUAAGUAUAUUCAAUGAAUGCAAUAAAAAAAAAAUUUCAACGAAAAUGAAGUGAAUGAAAAUUAGUGCACAAAUCAAGUGUUCAGGGGUUCAAAUAUGAGCCAUAGUAAGUUGGAGACUUGGAUUAUCGACAUUUAGUUUCCACUAUCCUUGAGUUAUUAUUAAAUUAAUUUCACAAACCAAGUUAAUUGGUUACUAAAUGUAUACAAAAAAUUAUUAGGCGAUUUUUUUCCCCCAAGAAUCAAAGUCUAAUAACAUUUUAAAUUUCAAUUUCAUGAUUGUUAUUUUUUAAUUUUAACAAAGUAUCAUUAAAGAGGUAUUUAUAUGAAAGCAAGUUAAUUUUAUCCAUUGGUUAAUCUUAAGAAUUAGUGGUAAGCCAGAUUUAAAGGUGGAUACAGUUCAAAUUUCAUAUCUUUACAAGGGAAGUUGUAAGAGGGAUGGUUGGAUCAAGCAUUGUAGUCAAAGCAUCUACAAAAGAUACUCCAGCAAAAGCAACUUUAAACAAAUCAGGCCUCAUAUUAAGGACGGAGCCGAUAAGCAACCCCCCUGCAUUCCUUCCUUCAAUACACAGUUUUUCCUUUGCACAGAACCUCUGUUCUAUUCAAUACUCAGCACAUGCAAUAAUAUCCGUGAAAGUAUUCUUUUUCUUUAAGUACUUCCGAUUCUCGUACCACUGCCUUCCCAUUCCACCACCUCUACGAAUAUAAUACCCCAAGCUAUAGAAGUCAAAAUCAAGAAUAAAAAAUAACUAAAUCAUAGCUAAUCUAGCUUUUUAAUAGUGUAAAUUUUUUUAAAAAAAAUUUAUAAUGGAGAAAGAUAAACAAAAUCAGAAAGCAGGGCAGGUUGGGGGAUUUGGAUCUUUGCCCAAAACUUUUGUGAUGUUUUGAAAAUAAAAGUGGAUAUAAAAAGGUAACAAAGGGGCUUGGAGGCUUGGAAGGAGGUAUAAAUUAUAAAACUUGAUAUAUAUAUAUAUAUAUAUAUAUAUAUAUAUAUAAAGGAAAUAGGGAUCUGAAAAUUGAGGGUGAGUGACAGCAGGAGAGAAGAAAAGGGAAAGAAGAAAAAGAGAAAAGAAGGAAAGAUAAAGGAAGGAAAAGAGAGUUAAAGAAAAUAAGUAUAAAGGUAAAAUUUAGGUUUUGAUAUGCAUAAAUGUUCUUUUUUUUAGCUUUAAAUUUCUGUUUUGUUGAAAAUUAGUGUUUUGAAAAUUUUGUUUUGGUUGAUUGAUAAAUUAAUUUCAAUGUUAUGAGUUGUUUGUUACGAGUAAUUAAUUAUAUAGUUGAUUUUGAAAGAUUUUAGGUAAAAAUAAUGAUUUUGAGUUAUGAUUUGUUUAAAUGAUGAAUUUGAGUUAGAAAUCUUGAUAUAAUAGUAGGUGAUAUGUGGAAAUUCUGGUUUGAGGUUGAAGAUGACAAACUUCCAGUUUGGUCCCUUAAUUUUUAAAAAAUUACAGUUUAGUCCCCAACCUUUGAAAACAUUACAUAUUGGUCCCUCAAUUUGUAAAAAUUACAGUUUCAUCCCUCAAUUUGUAAAAAUUACAGUUUAGUCCCCAACCUUUGAAAACAUUACAGAUUGGUCCCUGGAGCAUAGUCCGACAUGAAUUUAUGACAUUUUCAAUUUGGUCCUCCCAUUUGGUGAAAUUACAAUUUGACCCUAAAAAUUUGAUAAAAUUCCAGAAUGAUCCCUGGAGCAUAAUUAGAGAUUCCGGACAGAAUUGAGGAUGAAUUUCCAGUAUAGUCAUGAAUUUAUGACAUUUUUAGUUUGGUCCUCUAAUUUGACAAAAUUAUAAUUUGACCUCUAAAAAUAUGAUAAAAUUCUAGAUUGGUCCUUAGCUUUAAUAUUAGUUUUUUUCAUAUUGGUUUGAUGAAUAAUUGAGAGUCAUUUAGUGAAUUAUCAUCAAGUUUUAUUAUUUGUUUUCUUAUGACUUAGGGUUUCGGGAAAACCGUUUAACUUUUUUGUUUUUGAAAAACAUUACUAGUUGAGUUCAAAAAUAUAUAAGGUUAUGGAAUAAACUUUUAGUUAAAUAUAUUAAAUAAGUUGUAUAUUCUUUUUUUUUAUAAAAAUCAAGAAUCUUUGAACAGUUUGAAGGUCUUCGUAACCUCAAGAGGUAAGUAGCACAUUCACAUCAAGAUUGAUGAGAAUUUCUUCAGCUAAGUAAUUGGUAUAGCAACUUCACUUUCAGAGAUUAUUCUGUAUGUUCCACUGUUUUUAUUCAUGAAUAUUUUCAUGGCAAUAAUUGCAUGAAACAAUGGACCAUCUCUUCAACUGCUGAGCUUUCCUUUAUAUUUGCAGCUGUAAUUUGGGAUAGCAAUGUCUCUGACAUGAAGUUUGGAUGGCUUGAUCUCUUUGCAUCAAGAAUGUCAAGUUACUUAAAUGUAUUAUUCACAAGGUGACUACAAGAGACACAUUGGAUGGUGCUGGGCCCAUGAAAGCUUGAUCUGUUUUUUGUUCGUUGUUCAAUUGAGGAUUUGUAGAUUGUUCCGUUCGAUCCUCUGUCCUUGGAUCAUUCAUGGGUGUUUUGACAUGUACUUAUUUCACUCUUAAUAAAGUAUUUCCCAUUAUUAGUGCUUAAUUUUUCAAUCCAAACCUUGGUUUUUUACCUGGAUCAAUUUGAAUCUGAAAGAAGUACCAAAAUCUAGUGUUUCAAGUACUCAGUGGUUGCAGGGGACAGCUCUCCUUCCUUCGAACUCUGGUUCGAGUCCCAGUAAAAGUGGGGCUGGAGAGUUUGUUCCCCUCGUCUCUAUUGAGUCCUCCCUGUACGGUAUGCUUGUCAUCCCCGCGGUGCCUUACAUGCUCACUGGGUUUGCAGGAUGUUCAGUGAGCCGUGGAAUUAGUCGUGGUGCGCGCAAGCUGCCCGGACAACCACGUAAAAAAAAAAAAAAAAGUUAACAGAAAUAAAUGUACCUUUGCCUGUCCCUUCAACAAAAUGCUGAGCUGUAUAUUAAUUCUCAGAGGCAGUGAUAACUAGCUGUUCUAACUAAUCCCUAUACUUUUAAAUAUUUUUACAAUGCGGUCCCUUCAUUAAUUUUUCGUUAGUAAGAUGUUGAGCUUUCAGCAAUAUUUCCUUAGUUUGUGCCGCUAACUUAACGGUAAAAUGUAAUUCAAGGAUCAAUUAGUUAUUUGAAUGAACUUGAGGGAUUAAUCUGUUUGUUUAACACAAAUACAGACACUAGUUAAAUAGAAUUUAACUCAAAUUUUAAUUAUCAUAUGCGUGCGUGCGUGCGAGCGAGCAAGCUAGUGUUUACUCGUUAAUUUUUUUAGAAGGAAUCUGGAAAAGAAUAAAGUCAUCCAUUUCACUUGGGCCCAGCAUUCCUCACCUCUCCCCGCCCGAGCUCUCACUCCCUCCCUCCCUCCUCCGCCUCUCGGAAACCGCCGCCGCCAAGAAGGCUUCAGAUUUCUGCCAGGUGCUUCUAUUUCUAUCAUGUUUUUGUUUUUAAAAUUUAUGGGUGUUUUCAUUUAUUUUAUUGUAAUUAUUACUCAGAGACAGAAAUUCUAUUUUAAUAAGUAAAUUAAAAAAAAAUAAUCGAUCCGAUGAAAUCUCUGCUAGUGAACGCAAUUCGAAUUUAAUAAGUAAAUUAAAAAAUAUAUAUAAUCGGAUCCGAUGAAAUCGUUGCUCGUGAACGCAAUUCAAAGAAACGCACAAUCAGCCGAUUCUAAUAAUUUCUUUUUCAAUUUUUUCCCCUUAAUUUACAUGAUAUUAUCCGAUUUUUCUCACAGUUAUUGUUGUAAUAAUCAAGCCCUGAAUUCUUGAACCCAAAUUUAUUUUAUUUUAUUUUAUUUUUUAGUGGAGAAUAGAAAUCAAUUCAAAUCUUUUAGGCUCGAUCGAUAAUUUGUUAAUUAGUUUAUGCAGCAGCUGGAGUGGAAGAGAUAUUACAGCCGGAAUGGCCGAAAAAUGAGCUGUUUGGUGGAUUCUUCUUUUUUGGAAUUUACUGAAUUCUUCAAAAUUAUUGUGUUCUUAACAACAAUACGAUAUCCUUGGGUUUUAUGCUCGCUCACACAUGGAAACAAGAAAGAAAGAAAAGAACUUUAAAUUUUAUAAUUUGGUCAUGUUAACGUGAAAAAAAUAAAAAUAACAGGUCUGCCUUGAUAACCCUACAUGAUAUAUCUUUCUUUUUAGGACUGCUCAGCUGGUCUUGAGUAUGAGGUGAAAGCUUGAGUAGGACAGAUAGUCCUAACCAAGGACUGUAUUGUGAUUGAUUGAGUUGAAAGUUAAGAGCAUGUGAAAGUGUAAAACAAAUGACCUAGUUCACUUCACCCCAAAGGCGCACCUGUGCAUCUAGUUAGGAAGAACAUUUUAUAACUUACCUCAAGGUCGAGCAUGGUCAAGGUUAUUGUGUUGUCAAUUCCGAGAAAGAUGUGCCUGCAAAUUUAAUCUUAUUUCAACAAGAGUUGUUAAGUUGAUUCUUAUCAGUCUGCUCUUUAGAGUUGAUGAUAACAUGAAAUAUUCAUGGUUAAUGCUUGUUGUUUUCUUCUUCAUUUUCCUAGCUUAAAACAUCCUAGACAAUCUCUUCAUGUUCUAUUUUCUGGGAUAUUUAGACUGCUGAUAUUCAUCGGGGAUUGAAAAGCCUUGUUUUAUUACUUUGUUUUGUUUUCUUCUUCUUUCUUUAUUCUUUUGGGGAUGUGGUAUUCUCCUCUUUCUAUUUACACUAUUUCCUCCACACAACAUUUAUUCUUUCAGAAAAGUUAAUUCAUACAUAAAUAACAAGAACGGGGGGGUUUGACGGUAUGUAUUUGGUUGCGAGUAAAAAUUGGUAAGCACUCGAAAAAGGUCCUGUGCUGAAUCUAAAUUGGUAAGAUGUGAUAUACUGAUAUCUAGAAAGAUAACUUAAUCUAUCUAUUGAAGUAAAGCAUUUAAAUGCGUAUACAAUGUUUUUGGAACAUUAAAUAUCUAUUUGAUCAGAAUCUGUGAACCUAAAACCACAAUGAAUACAAAUGCAAGUUUGUCAUUGUAAACAUUGCAUCAAUGAUGCAUCACGAGUGUUGCUAGAAAACAUCAAGUUAAAAUUGAAGCACCAUGAGUUUCUCUAUGGCUUGGUUUACCAACACUCACCAUCUGUUGGUGCGGCAAUUUAUGAACUAGCUGGCUAGUUUUUUGCUUCCUUGGUUUUAGAAGCACCAUGAAGAUUCAGGCCCAAAUCUUGCUUAUAAUACCCGUCUACCUGAAUACCCAAGAUCCUAGCACCUUGCCUUGAAUGGUCGUGUAUAUUUGUUAUGGCUGUUCAGAUUUUAUGCAUCCAUAUUUGGUAGAAUUCUUUAAUAAAGUACAUGCUAUUAGAUGGAAGUUCUUUUUAAAUCUAUUCAAGUCUGAAUAAACUGAUAUUCCAAUUUUCAUGACUUUGAUGUGCUCUUACUCUUCUGUUGUUCCUGACUUUCUUUUUAGGGUCUAUUCUAACAUGCAAUAUAAUUAAUUUUUUUUUUUUGUGAUAGAAGUGAUUUUUUUGGUUGGCCAAACCCCAUGGAUGCCAAUAAUUGGAGGUCCACUGCCCCAGGUGGAGAACCUGUGAUGGACACAGGUGAUUGGAGAACUCAACUGCAACCUGACUCACGGCAAAGAGUAGUCAACAAUAUGUAAGUAUCUGUUUCCUAAUAUGUGCAAGUGCUGCAAAAUAGUAAAUCUUGUAUUUAAAUGAAAGAAAAAGAGAAGGGCAAAAGGUUAAUUAAAAUCAGCAGGACUGCCAUGAGGCAACCUCAAGUAUCAUACACCUCUGUUUUUGUCUUUUUCAUUUUUCACGUGUUUCUCACAAGAAGUGAACUUGAGGGAAUAAAAAGUGCUGGGAAGUAAUUUUUGUUUGAACUUCUUGUGUAACAUAUUGUUUUGAUGAUGACCUCUAGGAUGGCUGCAUGAAGCUUGUCCGCUUUAAAUUUCAAGGUUAAUCUAUUGCUGUGAGCAUUGGUGUUUCAAUUUCAACCUUGAGUUGCAACUGAACUUAAAUGAAUAGUGUUGGAUUUGAGCCUUCUAUUUGCUUUAACUUCUACAGGGUUGAAAUGAUAGUGAUCUUAAAGUACAAAAGCAGCUGACAAAAAUCAUUUAGCCACAAUAGUGCAUGGUUUCCUAGUUUCUCAGUAUAAACUAUAAAGUUGAAUGUUUUGGUGAUAUCUCUACAUCCAAAUUCAUAUAGACAGCUAGUGUUGGCACUUGCUGUAGCCAAUGAGCACUGUAGAGUAUAUAUUGCAAAGUGAGAUAAGGUUAACUCAUUGCAUUUUAAUAAAUUAAAAGGAUUUCUCUUCUUUUCUUUGUCAAUUACAGUGCAUGUAUAAAAGUUUUCUUACUCAGACUAAAUGCUAUUGUAAUGUUUUCAUAGAGUUCCCCUGGUUUGCAACUAAUGCACUUAUAUACCGUGGAGCAUAGCCAUAGCCAUAAAUGGAAGGUUCUUCCAAGAAAAUUAACCAUGAAGCUCGUAACUAGAAUUUUAGACAGAAGGGUGGCCAACUGAACUACUAUACCCUGUACCUCUGGAAUAAUACGGGGAAAGGAAGUAAAAAUAGAUGUCUGUAUGUUGAUGCCAUAUAUUACUUGAUCGACACUCGGCUAUAUCAUUAUUUGUUUUUACUUUUUGCUAAUGAUUCCGUUGUAUACAUUUCUGAUAUUGGUGUGGUGUAUGAGUUCACGGUUCUUUCUCACUGCUGCUAACUUCUCUAUACCUGCCUUGUCAUUAAAAACUAAAUGUAAUGUUUUACAUGUGUAGAAUGGAGACAUUAAAGAGGCAUCUUCCGUUUUCUGAUCAAGAGGGAUUACAAGAACUCAAGAAAAUUGCCGUACGGUUUGAGGAAAAGAUUUAUACUGCUGCUACCAAUCAGGUAUUCGGCUAAUGCUAGGUUCAAUAAUUUCGAUACUCUCUAGACAUGAAUAUACACAUGCAUAGGUUCAAUAAUUUCGAUAUUCUCUAGACAUGAAUAUACACAUGCAUAAGUUUGUGGAUUUAUGUAUGUACACGUGUGUGUAGUGUGUCCACACCUCCUCACUGGUCAUUUUGUAGAGGUUCUCAUCUUUUCGUUAAUUCUCUUGGCAAGUGUUUUAUUUAGAGUGACCAAGGUCCUUUUCAAGUACAAGGGAAGUGUGCAAAAUGCAAAUAACGAAUCAAUACAUAAAUAAUUAAAUAAAAAGAGAGGACACAGAAGUAUAUCCUCACAGAAGAUGCAAAUACAAAGAGCCUAGCAUAUUAGAAAGAGCAUAAAUCCCUUUUCCCCCUUCUCUUGUAACAUGGAUUGCGCAGAGAUCUAAUCUUUUGUUAUUGAUAUCUGAUUUCAGUCUGAUUAUCUGCGUAAAAUAUCUCUGAAGAUGCUUACAAUGGAGACCAAGUCUCAAAAUACCAUACCCACUGGCAAUGGUAACAAACCCCUGGAUCCAGGAGGUAAUAAUGCAGCCAAGCAUUGAAUUUCUAAACAUCCUUACCUUUUGUUUUAUAUUUCGCAUUGUUAUCAAACUCUUUUACAUUUGAUUGCUGCAUAUUGCUAUGUAUAUACCAUGCUUUAAUAAAAAAGUUGAGUAAUUGAUGAAUGUUCAAAAAAAUUACAGAUUAUUUUUGUACUUUUAUGCUUUGAGGUAAAACCAUCUUAAUUAUUUCCCUCAUAACUUUACGUGUGAACUGUCAUUGUUUCAUUUGUUUUUCUUGCUCAAUGCCUUCUUUUUUUCCUUUGACAUGGUUUUCCUUUUUGCCUUCUAUCUUGAACAGCAUCUCAUAGUAUGCCGCCUCAAGCUCACAACCAAGGGCAGUCGCUCCCUAUCUCAUUGCCCACUAAUCAGUCUCAAGCAUGUCAGCAGUUAUCACAGAACAUGCAGAAUAGUAUAUCAUCUAAUGCCUUCUGUUUCCGGUUUAACCCAGACUAUCUCAAACACUGUUGGACAGAAUGCUAACAUGCAGAGUAUCUCUGGUGUUUCACAUAACCCAGUGGGGAAUUCAAUGGGACAAGGGAUUCCCUCCAAUAUGUUUGUCAAUUCUCAGAGACAAAUGCCAGGCAGGCAACAGGUUGUUCCUCCACAGCAACAGCAGCAGUCCCAAAAUCCUCAGCGGUAUCUUUAUCAGCAGCAGAUACAACAACAGCUUUUAAAGCUCUCAUUUUGAAUUUAUCGGACAUGAAUUUUAAAAAUAUAUGUAUAACUGGACAAUGCAUUUGACACUAUGGUAACUAAUCAUCAGCCAAUUGAUUUUUAUGGGAAGAAAGAAAUUAGCAAGUGGACUAACUCUGAGGCACUUAAGGUUUGGUGUGCUGAUAAAUCAUCACCUUGCUGGAAAAUCUCAUGGUCACCUCCUCGAUGCUAAUUCUGUAAGGCAUGUGUAGUGUUUCAUCCUUAACUUGUUAAGGAACAAGGACUGUGAUGCAUGGCUAUCUAUAUUUUAUGAUUGAGAUGGUUUUUUAAAGAUUUUCCUGGUUAGGAGGUAAAGUGUCACUUUUGUGCUUUUCUUCCAUGAUAAAUUGUUUGAGCCUUUUUUUUAAUAUAUAAUGAUCACUUGUUGGAGGGGGUCUCUCUGUCUGUUUGAAUGAUUACAUAACGUUGAGAUGGAGUUCCUAGUACUCCAAGUCCAAAAAGGACUUGUAUUCCUAUGUAAGAAAAUACUAAUGGUCUAUCUAGGAUAGGGAAAACCUAUUAAAGCUCCUUAUUCUUUAGGAACAAUAAAAUACUAAAUAGAAAUAAAACCAAGACCUACAAUAUUCCAUAAUUUUCAGCAAGUGUGAAAAUUACAGAAAUACCCUUGUGUGCAGAAAACAUUCAAAAAAUACAUGAAUUCUAAUCUUUUGUUGGCUGUAUCAAAAUUUUUGUAGCAUCCCUAGAUUCUACAGCAGAGACUGGACAUGCAAAUGGUGCUGAUUGGCAAGAGGAGAUCUACCAAAAGGUAAUUUCUGUAGUUUACUGUUCAUGUAUGUCAUCGUCUUGCAAGAUUUCAAUGGAAAAGGUCUCCUGGAAUUUGGUACAAGGGAGUUUUAUUCAGCUAUGGUUGUGAUUAGUUAGGAAGCAUUGUAAGUUCCAUGAUUGCCGUAACUAAGAAACGAUAAAUUACUGAUAAGAUGAUUAAAGGUAAAUAUUCAGAUUUCUAGGUCAAGAGGGUUAUUUUCUUGGUACUGACAAUUUUUUCUAUUGCAAAUCUCUCCCUUUCAAUUUUUUCCCUGUAUUUCCAUACAUUUAUUUGUGUGGUGAAUUAUUAUUUUAUUAUUUCCAAUAAGUCCAAUUGACAAUACUUCUUACUAUAAUAGACAGACUAGAAAACAAGAGUGAAUUGUUUCUGAAUAGUCAUCGUUAUAUUUGGUUAAGUGAACAGUUAUUUUCAGGAUUACAAUCAAAUUUGUUCUGAAACAUGUGACAAUGGAAGAAAGGAAAAUAAGUGGACCUAAUCCAUUGAAUCAUGACCAUGUCCAGUAUUGUUGAAUUUUAUAGAAAACGAGGUUGAAAUUCUGAAUCGUUUAAUGGCUGUAGUUGCAAUUCAUAACUGCAUAUUUGAUGAGGUCAAUUUUUUUGUGCCUGGGAGGGUACUAAAACGGGAAUAGGAGUGGUUGUUGAUAAUUAGGAUAUAAGGGUUAUAAAUCUAAAGUUAUAAAGCUAAGAAGUGUUUACCAAAGUCGUGACAUCCAUUGACUUGAGUGAGAACAAUAGAAAACAAUGGUGAGUAGUUUGCCGUGAGACAAAGUAACUGAACUUGACCAACCCCUGAAUCUUGUCUGAAGGGGUAACUACACAAUCCUUUGCAUCUUUGCAUGCAAUCAAUAACUAUAUUCUCUAUUGAGUUUUCAGCUUUGAUUCCACUCUGCUAUUAUAUGCUGUCCUCUGCCAUUUUAUUUUUUUAUUUUUUUAUCAAUUCUCUCAAGUUUGCUUAUGUUGCUUUCUGACUCUGGCACCUGAAGAAAUCAAGCAUAUGAUUGAUAAUGUUUUGCUGGUUAUAUGUACUUCCUAGAUCAAAGUUAUGAAGGAAACGUAUUUGCCUGAAAUAAAUGAAAUGUACCAGAGAAUUGCUACCAAGUUACAGCAGGUAAAUUGUCUUUGUAAUUUUUUCUGAAUUAUUUGCUCACACAUGAUUCAUACAGUUGAGCUUUUGUAUUAAUUUGUUUUCCCCAUCAGCAUUGCUUGUCACUGUAUCAUCUGCACUAAUUACCCCCACCCCCACCCCCAACCACCCCACAACCAUGCAUUGACACAGAAGAAUUGGAAUAGAAACAUUUUUUUCACUUAUGUUUUACUAGUUUUGCUACAAAGGGUCAAUGCAAUUUUUAAUUCUCAUGUAUGUUACCUUUGCUUUCCAGCAUGACCCUCUUCCGCAACAACCAAAGUCAGAACAGCUUGAAAAGCUGAAGGUAUUCAAGGUCAUGUUGGAGCGCUUGAUAACAUUCUUACAGGUCUCUAAAAACAACAUCACACCUACUUUCAAGGAGAAAUUGGGUUUCUAUGAGAAGCAGAUUGUAGGUUUUCUAAACCCAAGCAGAUACAGGAAGCCCUAUCCUAAUCUACAGCAAGGACAACUUCCCCAACCUCAUAUUCAACCUAUGCAGCAACCCCAAUCUCAAGUUCCUCAAUUGCAGUCCCAUGAAAAUCAACUGAAUCCCAGUUGCAAUCAAUGAAUAUGCAAGGUUCUGUACCAAAGAUGCAGCAGAACAAUAUGUCAAGCUUGCUGCAUAAUUCUCUUUCAACUUUAUCUGAGGAUUCUACGUCACAAUCAAACAUGAUGAAUCCAAUACAACCAGGCUCCAAUUUAGAUUCUGGACAAGGAAAUGCACUGAGCUCAUUGCAGCAGACACCUGUAGGAUCUGUACAACAGAAUCUCGUGAGCAUUUCCCAACCAACCAAUGUUAACACAUUGUCAACACAAAGUGGGGCGAGUAUGCUGCAGCCAAAUAUUCCCCUUCAGUCGAAUUCCAAUAUGAUUCAACACCAGCAUCUAAAACAGCAGCAGCAGCAGCAUGAACAACAGAUGCUACAAACACAACAGCUUAAACGAUUGCAGCAACACCAGAAUUUAAUGCAGAAUCGACAGAUGCAGCAGCAGCAGCAGCAGCAGCAAUUACACCAGCAAACUCCAUCUCCUAUGCCAGGAGAUUCUGACAAACCAGUUUCUGGUAUUUCCUCACUCUUAAAUACUGGAAAUAUUGUACACCAACCAUCUGUUGCACAAGCACUGGCUCCCUCCCUUGCAAUUGGCACUCCUGGGAUAUCUGCAUCACCUUUGCUUGCAGACUUUACCAGUCCUGAUGGUGCUCAUGGCGGUGCUUUGACAACUGUUUCUGGCAAGUCAAAUGUUACAGGGCAACCACUUGAGUACUUGAUUGAAGCGGUUAGUGAUGCUCUCCUUUUGGUUUUACUCCACCCCACCCUUAUUUUGGAGGUUUCUGAAAAAGAAAGAAACUUCUUUGUGAAUGAGAUGGUGAUGCUGUAAUUUUUUUUCCCAGGUGAAAUCUCUGUCUCCCAAAGCACUUAGUGCAUCUGUCGGUGACAUUGGCUCGUUGUCAGUAUGAUUGACAGAAUUGCUGGUUCUGCAGCUGGUAAUGGAUCUAGAGCUGCAGCUGGUGAGGAUUUGGUAGCAAUGACAGGAUGUCAUCUUCUUUCGUUUUUGUCUUUUUUAUUUUUCACGUGUUUCUCACAAGAUGGGAACUCGAGGGAAUAAAAAGUGCUGGGAAGUAAUUUUUGUUGGAACUUCUUGUGUAACAUCUUCUUUCGAUGAUGACCUCUUGGAUGGCUGCAUGAAGCUUGUUCCGCUUUAAAUUUCAAGGUUAAUCUAUUGCUAUGAGCACUGGUGUUUCAAUUUGAAACUUGAGUUGCUACUGAACUUAGAUGAAUGGUGUUGGAUUUGGGGCCUUCUAUUAGUUUUAACUUGUACAGGGUUGAAGUGAUAGUAAUCUUAAAAGUACAAAAGCAGCAGACAAAAAUCAAUUAGCCACAAUAGUGUAUGGUUUCCUAGUUUCUCAGCAUAAAGUUGAAUGUUUUGGUGAUAUCUCUACAUCCAAAAUCAUAUAGAUGUAGCCAAUGAGCACUGUAGAGUAUAUAUUGCAGCGUGAGAUAAGGUUAACUCAUUGCAUUUUCAUAAAUUAAAAGGAUUUCUCUUCUUUUCUUUGUCAAUUACAGUGCAUGCAUAAAAGUUUUCUUACUCGAGUAAAUGUUAUUGUAAUGUUUUCAGAAUUCCCCUGGUUAGCAACUAAUUCACUUAUAUAUCUUGGAGCAUAGCCAUAGCCAUAAAUGGAAGGUUCUUCCGGUUCAAGAAAAUUAACCACGAAGCUCGUAACUAGAAUGGCCAAGUAAACUCGUAUAUCCUGUUAUCUAGAACCUUAUUUAAUCUGCUGUGAUGAAACAUAAGCUAUAGGGUCAAGCCUGAUAUUAUUAGUGAAGCUUUUUUUUGUUUUUCAUUUUUUUUUUUUUUGUGAUAGGAACAUCAAAGAAAAAAUGUAUCCGGCUGGUUCAUGUGCGAAAAUAUGAGGCAUGUUAAGCAACUGGACCAGACUAUCACAUGUCAAAAUCAUAUGUUUCAAUGAUACUUGUUGCAAGAGUGUCCUUAAACAAUCCAAUGUGCCUUACUUGAUAUAUUUUUUUUUUUUUAAUCUCAUUUGAGUAACACAAUUGGGGUACCCUUUUCAGUUCAUUCGUAAAUCUCUUUCCAAAACUGAAAUUUCAGCUGGUAACUUUUGAUGGGUCAUUGGUGAUUAUAUUAAUUUGGCUACAGAAAUAGUGCUGAGGGGUCGAUGCACACUAUGAAAUGAUGUUUGCUGGAGCAAUGGGGCUGGAUGAAGGAGGGGGUUUUCGAGCUCAACGAAGCAGUGGAUGUCUGGUGCAGCAGCUGCUCUAGAUGGUCCUCACUAUUGGGGCAGCCUAUCGAGAUUGUUUUCAGGGACAUUUUUAAAGACAUUGAAAACGACAAUCUUGCAUUGAUUAGUGCCAAGUAUGAACACGUCAAAUCUAAGCUAAGAAAUCAUGGUUUUGUUAAGCUUUGCUAUCUUACAUAACACAUAAUGUUAUCGACAUCCUCUUCAUGUUAUAACAUGAUUAAGUAAAGGUAAGAUAAAAACAGUUAAAAGAUGAAUAUAAAGUUUAAAAUGAAAGGGGAGAAAGCAACCUAUCAACCUCAACCUACAGGCAAACAAAGGUUGAAACUGAGGUAAUCUAAAGCAAAAGAACAUCAGCCUCCGUUUUUCCUGACAUUUUUUUUCCUCAAGUGACCUCUACAAAGACCUGCUGUAAUAUAUGUAUGAACAACACAAACAAACAUGCAAAAAGAAAAUAUUUUUCAGGGAAACCCAAGUCCAAAAACUUAAAAAAAAGUGUUAGUCUUCAAAAUCAAAGCCUUCUAUCAUCUCCAAAGGUACAGAGCUGCGUUCCUAAACACAAGAUGUUUUUUUUUUUUAGAAAAAGGAAAAUCCUCGUACAACCUAAUACAAAGCAAGAAUCCAACAAAAAUCAAAGACUAAUGAAAAGAAAGACCAAAGAACUGAAAACAAACCAAGGCUGGAAUUAAGGGAAGAAUCUAAAGCAAAAUAAAACUCCAGCCUCUUAUUUUCGUGGCACGAAGUUUUUUCCUCACCCAAGUUACCUCUAGAAAAACCUAUUGUAAUAUCUAUAUGGAUGGGCAACAUAAAUAAACAAGCAAAAACUAAAACUUUUUUAAGGAAACCCAUGUCAAAAAAACCAUAAAGAACAAUGUCGCCCUUAAAAGCAAAGCUUUCUAUCAUCUCUAAAGCCAAAAAGAUGUGUUCCCAAGCACAAGAAAUGUUUUUUUUAUAAAGAAAUGGAAAAAACUUUAACAACCUAACUCAAAUCAAGCACCCAGCCUAACCAAAACAUUUGAAGAAAAAAGGUCGAUCUCUCAGAAGACUUUUGGCAAACACGUAGCAUGCAAGAGACACAUGUAAAGAAAACCACGUAAACUUCCUUGCAAGACACAUGCCACCCUGUGUGAAACAAAGACAACACCACCUCUAUAAAGAAUGGAUAAUAGAGGGUUGAAGCUAACCAAAAGACUAUGCCCAAGAAACCUCAUAACUAUAGCAAAAAACGCAGCCAAAGCCUCAAUAAACACACAUAUAGCCUAAUAAUGCAUCUAAAAAUAGAAAGACAAUCAACAAAGAGUAAAGGAAAAAAUUGAGCGCAAAUUUCCAGGAAGGGACAAACAAAAAAAAACCAAAAAGAAAGUAGAGAAAAAUGCAGACUUAAAUUCACAACACCCAUUUUCUUUCCAUUAGAACACUUUAAAUAGUUUAUUAAAUUUAUAACGAUCUGAUUUCUACGCAUAUUAAAAAAUCAACUUAAUGAUCAAUUCUCUAUAAUUUCAGCAUUACUAAAACUAUCCAAACUAAUAAACUAUUAGUUAUUUUAGUAUGAAUUAACAAGUCAAUUUUAAAUUUUUUGACUUCUUAGUUCCUUCAUGAAUUACUUGUAAAGCAUGCUAUAUAUCUCUAAGCGUUUUUGUAUAAUAUAGUUCUAUCAAAUUCACUUUUACCCAAUGUAUAAUAUAAAAUAUUCAUGGCUUUAACAUUAAUAAAAAGUAAUUUUUUAAUAUUUUCCAUAUAUUCACUUAUAAUUUUAGAAAUCUCAUUACCAUGUUCAAUUUUAAUCGGUCUUUGAGAUUUAUUUUGUACCGAUAGACACAAAUUAAAAUCAAUAAAUUAACUAUAAAUUAUUAUAAAACAAUUUAUUACAUGCUCUUUGGUGCUAGCAAUGUGAUUGUAAUAUUAUUUUUCAAGCUCACUCAAUCUCUAAUUCUUGAUAGCACAACCAAGAAUAAAUGAUGAAUCACAAUUUGUAUGUUACUCUUUGUAAGAAUUUUGACUAAAAAAUUGUAAAAGAGAAGAGUUUUAAAAAGACUAUAAGUUUUUUCAUUAUCAAAAUCAUGUCAGAAUAGUCUCUUUUUAUAGGUAAUUCUAACAUUUAAUUUUAACAUAUCUUUUAAGGCAAAAGGUUACAACUUUCUAAUUUAAAAAUACACGAUUUUAUUUCAAAUAGAGUUUUUAACAAACACAACUUUUCAUUCACACCCUAACAACCCCCCCACAUGAUAAAAAUUGUUUGGUCUGAAUAAAAUACUAAGUAGGCAAAAAAAUAGAGACUAGUAGCGAAAAGUCAUUGCAUCAAGCAAGAUAGUUUUUAGCCUUGAACCUUCCAUAAUUAAAACUAUUGGAUUCACUUGGCUAACUAGCAAACAUGAUGUCUUGAGUUUAUUUAACCUUUUGUGUGGAACUAGAUAAUAGAGAUUACACAGUUUAUUUUCUUACAAUUUUGGUUCUCACGGUUGUGUUCAUUUUAGUCUCAAAUAUGUCUUGAUUUCAGAGAGCGUUAGAGAAUUUGCAUUUUCAAUUCUCAUAGAAGUGGCUUUUUUUCACAGUCAUAUAGGUGAUUCUUAUUAAAAGUAUCAUGUAAUACCUCACUUGAAUUUCUCAAGCUAUAAAAGUCAUUAAAAGCUUAGCUUAUCUUAUUUUCACUGCAGAUAACACUUUAUAUCAUAUGAAUGGGUAAAAGGGAUAUUAUUGAAUUGACACAUGAUUUGGUUGCCUCUUUGAACCUAAAUUUGGGAUCUCCAGUAAACUAGGUUGGGUCGCUAUCAUGAAAAUUCAUUGAACUAUGUCUUAAUCUCAUUCCCCUUGAUGAUUAUUGACUUGCUCUAUUGUUAAGCAUUUUAUUAGCGAAUCCAUGAUAUUAUCAUUUAACUUUAUAUGAUCAAUAAAAAUAAUUUCAUUUUAGAUCAACUAUCUUACAAUAUUGAUAAUUAUGUCAAUACUUGCAGUUAUAUAUAUAUUAUGCCCUUUCAAUUGUAAAUUCGAAUAUCCUCAAUAAGGUUUUAGAAGCUAUUCUACUUCUUUUCUUUAUCUAAAGUUGUAAACUCAAACUCCUUCAUCGAUAUGGAUAUGCAUGUUUGUUUAAAGAAUUUUCAAGAGGCUAUAACUUCUCCAAUAACAAAGAUAAAUCUAUUUGUGGAUUUUGAAUCUUUAAUAUUGGAUAUCUAAUUAGUAUCGCUAUACCCUUCAAAUAUAGUUUCAUAUCUUAUAUAAUACAAUUCAUAUUUUAAACUUUUUUUGGUGAGCAAUGUAAUUUUUUCUAGACACCCCCACACUUUAAUGUAUUUGUAGGAUGAUGAUCGAACAUUCAACAACUCAUAUGAUAUCUUGCCCAAUUUCUUAUAAGGUGUUUUAUUCAGAAUAUAAUUUCUUAAUAUUGCUUCGUGUAUUUUUUCCUUUACAGUGACAAUAGUCCUUACAAUGAUGUCUUUACUUUUUACAAACAAAACAAGUUUCUUUGAACUUCUUUUUGCAGACACCACUACCAUUAGGACUCUUGAGAGAAUUUAAUUCAUCAUGCUUUAUAUUUGAAAAUUACAUUGUGUCUCAAAUUAUUUUGGUUUUUUCCCCGCAUGAAAAAUGUUUAGAAAUCGGGUUUGCCAAUCUAUACCACAAAGAUUACUAGGUUAACAAGUACAUCAAAAUCAUAGUUUUAAAACCCGGACCGGCCCGGCGGGCCAACCCGGGACCCGGCCGACCCGAGCAUGGGACCGGUCCGGGUGGAGGCCAAAACCUGGUUGGGAAUUGACCCGGCCAGACCUAGUCGACCCGGAGGGUCGACUCGGGACCCAGCUAACCCGGCAAGACUCAGUCAAGACCCGACCUCAAACCCGUUGACUUUUAUUUAUUUUUUUUUUUUUACCAAACGACGUCGUUUUGAUUUUUUCAAAAAAAAACAAAUUUGACCCGGCCGACCCGGUCAAGACCCGGUGACCCGGUCAAAACCCGAAAUCCGGGCCUUGGACCGGGCCGGGUCUUAAAACUAUGAUCAAAAUCAUCAACAAUAGUUUUAUCCAUCUAUUAUCUCAAUAAUAAAAUUAACUUUGCAAUUAUAUAUCACACUUAUAUAAUCUCAAAUAAUAUUAAUUAAAAUGAAUCACAAAAAUUUAACACACUAAUUUUGCGAAAAACAAUUUAAUAAACAAUUUAACUUUGCCAUUAUAUAUUUAUUUAUUUGUUUUUCUAUGAGACAAUGUAAUUUUCAAUAGAAACUAUAACAAUACAAAUAAUUAUAAAUAUUUUUCUUUCGACAUCAAUAUAAGAAAACAUUAUGUACUCUUCUAAAGUUAUGAUAUAAUGGAUACUUAGGAUUAAAAUAAUAAUAGUAUCUAAGAGGGAUGGAUUAGGUGUUGCAUUAAUUAUAUUAAAAUAAUACAAAUAAACAUACUAAACAUAUAUAACACAAUAAUCGACAAUAUAAUUAAAGUACUUAAAGUAAAUAGAUAAGGAAAGAGAGAUUGCAAACUUAAUUUAUAAGGUGGUUCGGUAAGUCUACAUCCACACUUCAAGUACUAAUUGUAUUUGAGUAUUGUACUAUUUUACUAAUAUAAGUGAAAAAUACAAUGCCCUUGAUGAAUCCACAUUAAGAAAUUACAGCACAUGAAGAUUUUUUUUUUUAAGAUUUGUUUUCUUGGUAACAAUAGAUUAUAUAAUUGAAAACUAUAAUUUCACUUUACAUAUAUUAUUUCACUGCUAAUUAGGGGAGUUCAAAAUAAUCGAUUAACCGAGAAAACCGACAAAACCGAAGAAAAAUUAACCGAAAAAACCGAACCAAAAGUAAAAACUGAUUAAACCGAUUUAAAAAACCAUAAAUGUUAACAGGUUCGGUUCGGUUUCGGUUUUGACCCAGAAACCGGGCCAAACCGAACCGGACCCAUUAAACCGGGCCAAACCGAACCGGACCCAUUAAACCAUUAAAAAAAAAGGUACUAUAAAUAGUUAAGUUAACCCAAUUGGCCUCCCUCUCUAACCCUAACAUAUUCUCAUCUCAGUUCUCUCACAAUCACAAAGCCGUCUUCAUCUUCCUUCCCAUUUCCAACAAAAACUCAAUCUUCCUCAAUAAUUAAUUCACAAUCUUCCUUUCCCAGAAACCUUCUUCAUUGAAGCAACGACAACAAGGUAAAUGACUAAAUUCCAUCUUCUUUGAUUCUUUGUUUCAUGGGUUUGAAUUUAGAAAGUAUUUUCUAAAUUUCCAAGUCUAUUCCAUCUUCAUCUUCAUAUUUUUAUUUUCCAGAAACCGUUUCCAUCUUCAUCUUUCCCAGAAAUCAUCUCCAUCUUUCAGGCGUCUUCAUUUUAGCAAUGACAGCAAGGUAAAUUUCAUCUUCAUCUUUGAUUCUUUGUUUAGUAGGUUUGAAAAUUUAUUCUAAGUCUAUUCUAUCUUCAUCUUUCCCAGAAACAGGCUUCAUUGUUUAAUUCCAUCCGUUGAUUGUUGAAAGGUAAAUUUUUGUUACUUACUUCUUUUAUUCCAUAUAUAUUGCUUUAGAUUUCGAAUAAUUUGUUGAGUGUUGAUUAUUGCUUUACUGCUACCCUUGUGAUUUUAAGCUUAAAUUCAUAUUAUGUUCUGUUUUGUUUUGUUUCAUGCUUUCCAUUUUGUUGACUGUUGCAUUUUCUUUUUCAGAUGUAAAUAUACGUUUCAGUUUCAUGCUAAAUUAUUAUUCUUUUGUUUACUGUUGAUAAAAGCUCCAUGUUUUCCUUUGUUGAACAUUCUACUACUAUACCAUUCUGUAUUGCUUGCAUUAUGUGGGGAUUUGGAUGUUAUUUUAGACUGUUCAUAUUAGAUUCAGUAAAGGACUAUCUUUUGAGACAAGGCCAGUGCAAUGCUUGUUUAAAUUAGAAGAGUUCAGUUGCACCAUUAACUUCCACAAUGUGUAUUCUGAGGGCAUUUCACUAAGGCUGUAUCUUCAUAUAGUUAUUUUAUAAUAUCAUUUAUUUACAUAUGUUUAAUCUAACAUUUUAAUUUAUGUUUUUGUAGAAUUUGGUGAAAGUUUAAAAAUCUCAACUGAUUAUUUGUAAGUUAUAUUGAUGAUGUUGGUGCAAUCUUGGAAUAUAAUUGUUUUGGGUAAUUAAUUUACUUUGCCUUAUUAAUUCCUUUUAAAAUUUUGCAUUCCUAAUUUUUUUAAUUGUCAAACUAUAAUAUGUUGCUAAUUUGCUAGUGUUUUUUUAUAGCAUUAUCCUUGCUGGAUCUUUUAGCUUUUGCUGUUGCUAGAAGUUUUAGAUCCUGCUGUAGUGCUGGUGUCGGAUUUUUUCUUCAACUUAUGCCGAAUAUUUAUGAUAAUUUAUUACUAGUUGCUAUUUGCUAAUGUAUCUAUUUGCUAAUGUAAACUUUUUUUAGUGUGAACACCUUUUUUAAUUUGAGGUGUCCAAAUUUGAUCAUGUAUUUUGCAUAUUGCAUUGAUUUGAAUUUUCAUAGCAUAUUUCUUUGUAUAUUAAAAAUAGUAAGAUAAAACAUUUCAAAUUUAUUGUUACUAUAAGCAAUUAAGCAUUUCAAAAAAAUUUCAAUAUUUUAAUUUCAUUAGAAAGCUUAUAACAAAAUUAAUCAAAUUAUAACAUUUUAAAGAGUUUUGAUUAAAAAGCUUAUAAAUUUAGCCCAACAAGAAAAUUUAACAGCCCAAUUUAAUUUAAGCCCAUUAAAAAAAAAUAAAAAAGCCCAUUAAUUUAAUGAUUAGGUUUCCCGGUUUUUUAACUGCAAAACUGGAUUCAACCGAACCGAACCGGUUUGGUUUGAACCAGAAUCCAGUUCGGUUCGGUUUGAAAUUUAAAAAAUAUGAGGUACUUGAUUCGGUUGGUUUUUAUAGUUGAAACCGAACCGAACCGAACCGUAAACAAGCUUACAGUACACUGUGUUUGAAUGAGCACUCAUAUAUAUAUAUAUAUAUAUAUAAUUCUUUUAGUUUUAAGUUUAUAGUUAUGAACAUUAUAUCAGCACAGUGAAUGCAUUUCUUUUAGUUUGUUAGCGAAUCUGUAAAGAAUAAAAUAUUGCUACCUGCAUAUCACUAAUUUAAGUAUUAAAGUUUUUUAGAUAUUUAUAUAAAUAUUUAUAUGAUUGUGAAUUUUAGGAUUUCUAAAAUUAUUAGAGGUAUAGGUAAGUUAACCAGAAUAUUCAUAUAUAUAAAAAAAGGCCAUCUGUCAAGCUCUGUUCACUUUGGUCCGACAUUCUUCACCUCUCUCCACCUGAGCUCUCUUUCCCUCCUCCGCUCUAGGAAACCGCGCCACCUCAACCAAUAAGGCUUCAAAUCUCCACCAGGUGCUUCCUUUUCUAUCAUGUUUUUUAUUUUUAAAAUUUAAGUCUGUGUUUUCAUUUAUUUAAUUGAAAUUCUUAUCCAGAGAGAUAAAUUCGAUUUUAAUAAGUAAAUUAAAAAGAUAUAUAAUCGGAUCGAUGAAAUCGCUGCUCGUGAACGCAACUCGAAGAAAGGCGCAAUCAGCCGAUUCUACUGUGGGUGGAGCAUUUAGUAUGGUCAGGGUUAUUGUGUUGUCUGUUCAAAGAAAGAUGUGCCUGUAAAUUUGUUAAGUUGAUUCUUAUCAGUCUGCUCUUUAGAGUUGAUGAUAACUUGAAAUAUUCAUUGUUAAUGCUCGUUGUUUUCUUUGUCUUUUUCCUAGACUAAAACAUCCUAGACAAUCUCUUCGGGAUGGAUUAGUGUUUCUGGCCUCUUCAUCUUCUAUUUGUGCUGUGGUAUUUAGUCUGCUGAUAUUCAUUGGGGAUUGAAAGGCCUCGUUUUAUGACUUUGUUUUGCCUUCUUCUUAUUUCUUUAUUCUUUUGGGGAUGUGGUAUUUUCCUCUUUCUAUUUACACUAUUUGCUCCCUACAAUAUUUGUUCUUUCAGAGAAGUAAAUAUAUGCAUAAAUAACAAGAACAGGAGGGGAAGGGGAGUGGGGUUUGACAGUAAGUACUUGCUUAGAAGGGAAUGCUUCUUUGGUUUAGAAGCACCAUGAAGAUUCUUUGCUUUGAAUGGCCGAAUACCCAGGAUCCUAGCACCUUGACCUGAAUGGUUGUGUAUAUUUGUUAUGCAUCCGUAUUUGGCUGAAUUCUUUAAUAAAGUACAUGAUAUGAGACGGAAGUUCUUUUUAAAUCUAUUCAAGUCUGAAUAAACUGAUAUUCCAUUUUUCAUGUUCUUGAUGUGCUUUUGCUCUUCUUGCCGUUCCUGACUUUCUUUUUAGGGUCUUUUCUAACAUGCAAUAUGAUUUUUUUUUUCCUUUUGGUUGGCCCACUGUCCCAGGCGGAGAACCUGUCAUGGACACGGGUGAUUGGAGAAUUCAAUUGCGGCCUGACUCACGGAAAAGAAUAGUCGACAAAAUGUAUGUGCAAGUGCUGCAAAAUAGUAAAUUUUUUAUUUAUAUGAAAGAAAAGGAGAAUGACAAAGGGUUAAUUAAAAUCAGCAGGAUUGCCAUGAGGCAAGAUCAAGUAUCACACACCUCUUUUUUUUUGUUUCAUCUUUUCAUGUGUUUCUCACGAGAAGCAAACUUGAGGGAACAUAAAGUGCUGGGAAGUAAUUUUUGUUGGAAUUUCUUGUGUAAUCUCUUCUUUUGAUGAUGACCUCUUGGAUGGCUGCAUGAAGCUUGUUCCGAUUUUAAUUUCAAGGUUAAUCUAUUGCUAUGAGCAUACAUGUUUCAAUUUAAAACUCGAGUUGCAACUGAACUUAAAUGAAUGGUGUUGGAUUUGGACCUUCUAUGCUUCUACAGGGUUGAAAUGAUAGUGAUCUUAAAGUUGAAAAGCAGCAGACAAAAAUCAAUUAGCCUCAAUGGUGCAUGGUUUCCUAGUUUCUCAGCAUAAAGUUGAAUGUUUUGUUGACCUCUCUACAUCCAAAAUCAUAUAGACAGCUACUGUUGGCACUUGCAUUGGUCAAUGAAUACUGUAGAGUAUAUAUUGCAGUGUGAGACAAGGUUAACUCGUUGCAUUUUCAUAUUGAAAGGAUUUCUCUUCUUUUCUUUGUCAAUUACAGCACAUGCGUAGAAGUUACUCAGAGCAAAUGCUAUUGUAAUGUUUUCACAGACUCCCCUGCUUUGCAACUAAGUCACUAAUAUAUGAAGCUCGUAGCUAGAAUUUUUAGACAGAAGGGUGGCCAAGUAAACUCCUAUAAUCUGUACCUCUGGAAUAAUACAGGGAAAGGAUGUCUAUGUAUUUUGAUGUCUUAUAAUACUUGACCAACUCUUGCUUAUCUCAUAAUUUGUUUUACUUUUUGCUAAAGAUUCCACACAUUUCUGAUAUUGGUGUGGUUUAUGAAUUCAGGGUUCUUGCUCGCUGCUGCUAACUUCUCUAUACUUGCCUGGUCAUUAAAAAUGAAACGUAAUGAUUUGCAUGUGCAGAAUGGAGACAAUAAAGAGGCAUCUUUUGUUUUCUGGUCAGGAGGGAUUACAAGAACUCAAGAAAUUUGCCAUACGUUUUGAGGAAAAGAUUUAUACUACCGCCACCAAUCAGGUAUAUGCCUAAUGCAAGGUUCAAUAAUUAUGAUAUUCUCUUGACAUGAAUAUACACGUGCAUUUAUGCAUGUACAAAUGUGGGUGUAGUGUGCGUACACUUCCUCACCGUUCACUCUGUAUGCAAGGCUGAUUCGGAGUUCGCAUCUUUUUGUUAAUUCUCUUGACAAGUGUUUUAUUUAGAGUGACCAAGCUCAAGUACAAGGGCAGUGUGCAAAAAGAAUAUAGCAAAUCAAUACAUAAAUAAUUAAAUAAAAAGAGAGGAAACAGAAGUAUAUCCUCACAAAAGAUGAAAUGAUAGAGCAUAUAUCCAUUUUCCUCCUCUUGUAACAUGGAUUGCUCUGAGAUCUAAUGUUUUGUUAUUAAUAUCUGAUUUCAGUAUGAUUAUCUACGUAAAAUAUCUCUGGAGAUGCUUUCAAUGGAGAUCAGGUCUCAAAACGCCAUGCCCACUGCCCCAUGGAUCCAGCAGGUUAUAAUGCAGCGGAGCAUUGAAUUUCUAAACAUCUUACCUUUUGUUUUUCUUCUCGCAUUGUUAUCAAACUCUUUUAAAUUCUAACAUUUUGUUGUCUGCAUUGAAAUUUUUGUAGCAUCCCUAGAUUCUACAUGCAAAAGGCGCUGAUUGGCAAGAGGAGAUCUAUCAGAAGGUAAUUUCUUCGAUUUACUGUUCAUUAGAUGGAGUUCAUGUAUGCCAUAGUCUUGCAAGAUUUCAAUGGAAAAAGGUCUCAAGAAAAUAAGUAGGGAUUAUUCCAUUGAAUCAUGACCAUAUCCAGUAUUGUUGAAUUUUAUAGAAAAUGAGGUUGAAAUUUUGAAUGUCUCAAGUCACAGCUGCAUGUUUGACAAGGACAAUUUUAUUUUUUUGUGCUUAGGAGACCAAUAUUUGCUGAGCAAUUCUAUAAUGAAAAGUUGGUGACUGAUGUUUUAAAAACUGGAGUUGAGGAAUGGCUUAGAGUGCAUGGAGAUCAUGUUAAAAGUGAAGCUGUAGAGAAGGCAAUCACUCAAAUUAUGAUGGGUGAAGAAGCAGAGGAAAUGAGUAGCAGAGCAAAGAAACGGCCAGGAAGGCUGUUGAAGAAGGUGGAUCUUCUUGCUCCGAUUUCAAUGCUUUGAUUGAAUAACUGAGGUGGGGUCGCCCUUGAAACAAAGGCAUAGAAUAUUUUGUUUAUACUUUAGUAGUGGUUUUGGCAAUUUAUUUUCAGACAAGUCUUGAGAGUUGAAAGAGUAAUCACACCCGAGUCAAUGACCAAUCCAAAUCAGUUUCCUUCCUAAUGAUUCAGGAAUGAGAAGUCCAGCUUAUAUAUUUAGCCCAAAUAACUAAUCAAAUAGAAAGGCUGAGCUUAGAGACAGUACACUACAAAUUACCAAUAGCUAGACAAACAAUCAUCACAAACUAGGAACGACCGUCUCCCCAGUAACAAAUUCACCUUCUGAAGUUGGAGAACUUGCGAAAACUAGCCACCACAAAAUAGUAGCAAGUAUCUAUGCAGUCUUCGAUGAAGUACAACCACCUGCGUCGCCAAUAUGGAUUGAUGUAGAGAACUGCUGCAAUCAUCAUCACCACAACUGUGUAACAUACACCGAAACUGAUGUAGAAAAACUCCAUGUCUAUGAAACCAUCAUCUCCUUGUUCAUCAUUAGGCACUGGCUGGGACGACACUGCUUCUUCACUACAAUUGUUUUGCAAUGGAGGUCCACACAAGAAAGGAUUUCCUUCGUAACAGCUUUCGUCAAAGGUCCCAAACUGAUAUUUUCUCUCGGGUGUCCUACCUGACAAGUUAUUGUGCGCCACGCUAAAAACUUCUAGUGUGGUAACUUCAGUAAGUUGUGGAGGGAUGGCACCAUUCAAGUUGUUGUAAGAAAGAUCCAAACUCUCAAUCUGCUUUAGGUUUGAGAAUGUUGCAGGGAUAGAUCCAGUAAGAUUGUUGUGUGAUAAGUUUAAUGACAGUAUCUGACUUAAGUUUCCAAAUUCUGGUGGGAUUGCUCCUCCAAAGUUGUUAUUGGAGAGAUCAAUACCAGACAUGUAGAUGAGAACUUUUCCCUUGUACCCAUAAUACAUAUUUUUUGUGGUAAAUUCUGUCACUUCUUCUGUAAAGUUAAACCAUAAAACCUUGCUUAAGCUGGACAUACUAUCCAUUAGCAGUGAACCCAUUGUUUCAUCAUAAGCUCUGUUUAUGGACAUUAAUUCAAAACCACUGUCGGCAUCCACUAUUGCUUUCUGGGAACUUUCCUUGAAAGUAAGAUUGCCCAAACAUGAGGGUAGUGGACCAGAGAGCUUGUUUUGUGAAACAUCCAAAAUGCUUAAUUGUUCUAACAAGCAUAACUGAACAGGGAGCUCACCAUCAAAGUGAUUAUCCCUCAGAAGAAGAACACUCAAUGAUGAAAGAUUGCCAAUCCAAUUUGGAAUGGAGCUGGUAAAGUUGUUAUCUCGAAGAUCUAUCGUAACCAGGGAAGAAUUGUUAUAAAAUUCAUAUUUUAAUGGACCGCUCAAUCUAUUUUUGGAUAGAUGAAUAUGGGUUAUUUGUGGUGGAUAGAAACAAGAUGGCAUAUGUCCAGACAAGUUGUUCCCAGAAAGAUCUAAAUAUUCAAGCUGGUCAAACUUACAAAAGUCUCUUGGGAUCGAACCCUUAAAAUGGUUUUUGGACAAAUCAAUUACUCCAAGACUCGUAAAAUUAACGAACCUCCUUGGAAGCAUGCCUGAAAAUUGAUUGUUACUCAAAUCCAAUACAGUCCACACUUUACACCCAUAUAAUGGAAAAUCUGAUAUCUGACCCCAAAAGUUGUUACGGCUUAGGUAGAGAAAAGUUAGGCCAGAAGAAUUGAACACCGAGGUCGGUAAUUGCCCACCCAAAUUGUUGUUUGACAGCUUAAGAACCAUUAUUGUUGUUAGUUGUUCUAGUUUUAUUGCAGACAAUUGAUUGUUGGAUAAAUCUAAAAAUGAAAGAGUGCUAAUAUUUCCUAAACAAGAAGGAAUAGAACCUGUGAAUCCAUUCUUAGCCAUCCUUAGGAUCAAUAGAUUUGGAAAGGUCAAACAAAUAGCUUUUGGAAUUUGACCGUUCAUGUUGUUGUUGGAUAUAUCUAAUUCGGUCAUUUUCGGAUAUGGGUGAUCUUGUAACUGCAAAGUACCAACAAAGAAGUUCUGGCUCAGAUAUAGUUUCGCCAAUCGUGUAUUGUUCUUAAGCAACCACGAUGGAAACAUUCCGAUGAUGUUGUUGUUGGAGAGAUCAAGGGCUCUUAAGUCGUAUUGGUAAUAGAGAAAGUCGGGAAUAUCUACAUUGAGUGCUUCCGAUGUUGGACUACUUGACAAGCGAAAAAAAACUAGUUGGAACUUUGGAAUCAAAUUAUCAAAAGCAGCAGGUUCCGUUGCUAGUCUAUUGUUCUCACUAGAGAAGACCUUGAGGCUUGAGUGGUUCAUAAAAGGCUUCACUGAAAUGGGAACUUCAAAGAGGUUAUUUGAUAGUGAGAGGAAUUGAAGGGAUAUGAGGUUGGUAAGAGGACCAAAUCCAAUAUUUCCAGUAAACUGGUUAUCAGAAACAUCUAAUAGUUGUAGAGAUGACAAGUUCCCCAAACAAUUUGGGAGUGAACCUCCAAAAUUAUUUCCAAAGAGAUCUAAUUGCUUCAGAUUCUUCAAUUCACACCAACCUGUACAAUUUAUCUCGAAACAAUCAAAAUAGUGUUGAAAGAAUCUUUUAUUGAUGAUGUAAUUAUAGGUAGAUGGAGAGUUGUUAAUUUACCUUGAGCGGGUAAAGUGCCAUGGAGGUCACAUUCAACAACAGACAAAACUUGAAGAGCAGGUAAUGCUCCAAUGUUUUGGAGGAAGUUUAUUGGGAGAGAAUUAUUAUCUAAAUGCAAUUCUUCAAGGGUGCUAGAAUUGAAGAAAGUCCCUGUGAAAAAGAAAGAAAGAAGAAGAGAUAAGAAAGUACAGAAUAGUCAUUCCAUUCAAUAUUAUUAAUUAAGACUUAAAUUAGUAUCCUUGAGAGAACUGAUAUUGAAUAGGGAGAUGAUUUUUGGAUAGAAACAACAAAUUGCCAGAAAAAUCCAGAGAUUUCAAAAGGUAUUGUAAAUAAAAGAACCUUACCAUUAACAACCGUCGAUCCUGUCAACUCAUUAUAUGAUAGAUUUAAAGACUUGAGAGAAGAAAGUCCACGCAGAUGUGAGAAAAUGCUGUUGUUGAAUGUAUUAUAGCUCAAGUCAAGGUUCUCGAGUUUCCCUAGAUGUGAUGAUAUGAUCUCAAUACCUGCAAGAGAGUUGUUUCUAAGAGUAAGUCAUAAUGAGCUCACGAUAUGCAUGAUAUAUAGAAACUAAAGAUAAUUAGAAUUGAUGAGAUGUUGUUGUUCAAUUGAUACAUGAUUAUCAAAUUAUACAUAAAAAAAAAAAAAACAAUUUUUAGUCGUUCUAAUUUUGAUCUUAUUGGAAAAAAAAACAAUUUAUGGAUAUAAAGUCGAUAAAGAUGAAAGCUAAGUUAUGAUAGACUUACAAAACAAGAUAAAUAAACUUAUAAUUAAGAUCUCAUCGGUAAUUAAAACAAGAAUAAUAAUCAAUCCUAGCAAUAAUUAAGUUUUUCUAAUAAAGAAAUUGGCAAUCUCUCGUUGGCUGUCCAGUGAUUUGUAUUGGAUAGUUUUUUUUUUUAAUUGAUGUUAAGAUCCAAGUUUUAAUAAUUACAAUUUUCUUAAUUAUAAUAUUCUAGGAGAGAGCUUUUUAUUAUGUUAUUCAAAACCCAUUCAAACUCAAAUUCAUUAAAAAAAAAUACUUAAGAGUUGUGUUCGACAAAGUAUCUCAAGACAGAAAAAACAUAUAUAUAAAUAUAUUUAUUUAAAAAGAUAAUAAAAUAUAUAUUUAUAGGAGAAUUUUGAAGUGAACUUCUGAUUACUAAUUUAAUCUAAAUAUUACAACACUUUUGGCAUAAAAGGGCCAAAAUAAGAAUAAAAUAUAUGCCUCUUGGACCUCAGUCCAAGUACCUCUUUACGUAGAUAUAAAGUCGUCCUCAUUUUUGUUGAUAAAGAAACAAUAUAAUUAAGAGAAUGUCAUGUGAAGCAUUUAGGUAGAAACUGUGUAUUAUACCUGAUCCUGUCAGCUCAUUGCCUGACAGAUCCAAAGACUUGAGGGAUGAAAAUCCAGUAAGAGAAGGAAAAAUGCUAUCAUUGCAUUGAUUCCAACUUAGAUCAAGGUUCUCCAGCUUUCCCAGCCUCACCGGUUGGAGUUGAAAACCUACAAGAUAUAUAAUUCUCAAAUUAUACAUAAAUUAAGGAAGAAGAUAGUGCAAGGAGUUGUUUCUAAGAGUAAGUCAUAAUUAUGAGCUCACGAUAUGCAUAAUAUAUAGAAACUAAAUAUAAUUAGAAUUGAUGAGAUGUUGUUGUUCAAUUGAUGUUUUCUUGAUAAAGAGAAUGUAACUUACUAUUGAUAGAUCCUGUCAACUUAUUAUGUGAUAGAUCCAAAGACUUGAGGGAUGAAAGCCCACUCAGAAUUGAUAAGAUGCUGCUGUUCAAUUGAUUGCCACUCAGGUCAAGGUUCUCUAACUUUCCCAGCCUCAUCGGUUGGAGUUGAAAACCUACAAGAUAUAUAAUUCUCAAAUUAUACAUAAAUAUUUAGUUGUAGAAUUAAAUAUGUGGGUUUUAUGUUGUUCUCUUUAUUGAUAAAACAGUCGAGAGUUUUUCUAAUAAAGAAAUCGGCAGUCUCUCAUUGGCUGUCUAGAGAUUUGUAUUAGAGAGUUUUUUUGAUAGUUUUUAUUAAAUAGAUAUAAAGUCAUUUUUGUUGAUAAGGAAACAAUAUAAUUAAGAGAAUGUCAUGUGAAGCAUUUAGGUAGAAACUGUAUAUUAUACCUGAUACUGUCAGCUGAUUUUCUGAAAGAUCCAAAGACUUGAGGGAUGAAAAUCCAGUUAGAGAUGGAAAAAUGCUAUCGUUGUAGUGAUUCCCACUUAGAUGAAGGUUCUCCAGCUUUUUCAACCUUGAUGACAAGACGUUGAGACCUGCAUGAUGUUCCUCAAGAGCAUAUUGGAAGGAAAUAAUUAAAUGCGUAGAAAAAAAUGAAAAAUGUUUUGAAGCUAAAUAAUUAAAAGGUUACCACAGAAGCUACCUGAUCCAGCUAUCAACUCAUUAUAUGAUAGAUCCAAAGACUUGAGAGUGGAAAGGUUACCAUUGAAACAUGACAAAAUACUUUUAUCAUUAAAUUGAUUGCCACUCAGGUCAAGUUCCCUCAGAUUUGAUGAUAGGACUUCGAAGCCUGGAAGAGAAUCAUCAAAGCAAGAUAAUUGACAUGAAACACCAACCAACCUUCAUUUAUUUUAUGAUUAUAAUUAAGUGCAGAAACAUUGAACUAACCUUCAUUCUCCAUGCAACCAACCAAUCCAGUAUCUCCCAAAUCAAGACUUUGCAAUUCUUUAAAAGGCUGAAACAAAGAUGCUUUGAGAACCCAAUCGUCCAAGCUAUAAACCCUUGCAUCGAAAAGAGAGAGUUGGAUCACUCGUCUUGUAGUGUUAUCACACUCGAUCCCAAGCCACUCACAACAAUUACUACCGUCCACCCAACCUCUCAAGUAAAUGUGAUCUGGGUUGAUCAAAGAUUGGAUCUCCAAGAGACCAACCCUCUCUUCCUCCAAACAUCCAUAACAACGACCAUACCUUUCGCCAACCAGAGUCAAUAAUGCUAGCAGCAUCAAAGCACCAAUUCUUUUCACCAUCAUCUUAGAUAAUUCUAUGAAUUACUACUACGUAGAAUAUUGUUGUUUGUUAUGUGCCUUUGGGCAACCAUAGAGGUCCUAUUUAUACUACACUUUGGCCAUUUAAUUUCCUUGACUUUAUCUGCAUAUCUUGUGUGCAGGUUCCAUGUUUGGAGAUUUGAAUAUUUUUUUAUUUCUUUUUGGAAUAUUCUUGGAUUUUAAUAUUAUUUUUUUAUUAUUGUUCAGCACUUAAAGGCCCUUAGGCUUACCGAAGAAAAUUGACUUCUCCAUAACUGUAAACAUCACUUUUGUCCGUCAGUUGGCUUGUGUGCAAGUACUCAGGUCUAAGUAUCCUAGAGUACCUCGCACCAUUGUUGACUAUUCAACAUGAUCCAACGGAAUUAACCUGUAAGUGCCACAGUCUGACACUUCGGCCUUUAUGGUGUGUUUGUCGAUAAUAUAGAUUUGAAUAUUGUAGACAUUCCUAAGAUUUUUUUCAUGAUUUUAUAAUUGUACUUCUCUCGUAAUAAUUUAGGGUUUCAUGUUUUGAGAUUUUAAUAAUUUUUUUUUUUUUGAAAUAUUCUAGAAUUUAAAUAUUAUUUUAAUCUAUUGUUUAGCACUUAGUCCAUUUAGAUUUGAAUAUUAUCUUGUGCAGUUCAGACUUUAUUUUAUUGUUCAGUUCGGCCUUUAGUCUAUUUGUAUUUAAUUAUAUUUUUGUUACUAAUUAUCCAAUUUAUAAAAUAAAUAAAUAAAUAAAAAUAUUGUAGACAUUCCUAAGAUUUUUUUCAUGAUUUUAUAAGUGUACUUCUCUCGUAAUAAUUUAGGGUUUCAUGUUUUGAGAUUUGAAUAUAUAUUUUUUUUUGGAAUAUUCUAGGAUUUGAAUAUUAUUUUAAUCUAUUGUUUAGCACUUAAUCUAUUUACAUUAAAUUAUAUUUUGGUUAUUAAUUAUCCAAUUUAUAUAAAUAAAAUAAAAUAAAAUAAUUGUUGUAGUACUUCAGCAUUGUUAUCGACAUUCGUGUGUGAUUCCGCGUUAAAUCUUUUUUACUUUAUAGUUGUACUUCUCUUGUCAUAAUUUAGGGUUUCAUGUUUUGAUAUUUGAAUAUUAUUAUUUUUUUGGAAUAUUCUAGGAUUUGAAUAUUAUUUUAAUUUAUUGUUUAGCACUUAGUCUAUUUACAUUAAAUUAUAUUUUGGUUACUAAUUAUCCAAUUUAUAUAAAUAAAAUAUAAUAAAAAAAUUGUUGUAGUACUUCAGCAUUGUUAUCGACAUUCGUGUGUGAUUCCGUGUAAAAGAAGUCAUAAUUUAGGGUUUCAUGUUUUGAGAUUUGAAUAUUAUUUUGUUUUUUUUUGGAAUAUUCUAGGAUUUGAAUAUUAUUUAGGGUUACUAAUUAUCCAAUUUAUAUAUAUAAAAAAUUAAUAUUGUUUCAGUAUUCCAUGUGAUUCCACAUAUGAUCUUUUUGACUUUAAUAAUUGUAGUUCUCUCGUCACAAUUUAGAAUCAUUUAGGAGUAUUUGCAUGGUGUCAUCACUAUCAUAUAUAGAAUUAAAUGUAUAAAUUAUCAAUAAUAAUAAACUCAGAAUAAUUAUAAAUCUUAACCCUAUGGAUUGUGUGGCUACAGUAUUAUAUACAAAAACUUCAAAUAUAUAUAUAGACACACACACAGCUGUCAAUGACCCAAACAAGCAAAUUAAAAUUCAAAGUGUGAGCAUUGAAUUUCUUAGCACGUCAAACACUCCCUUUUCUUUUAAAUUUAUAGCAAAACCUAAAUUUAAAAUAAACUUGUGUGCUCAGUAUCUUUUUAAGGUGAAUUAACAAGUUUCAACUUAACUUUGUAUCUUCUCUAGAUAUGUCUGUGACUGUGCCUUGAUUUUCUCACAACCAUUAAGAUGGUUCGAUACCAAAUAAAUGGAGACAAAUUUAUUUCCUGUUAUUCUCUGAUAGUAUCUUCGUUUCUUGAUAGAAUUUUCUUGGAAAUGAUGAGUUGCCACUUCCUUUUGACUUUGCUGGCUUCCCAAAUAGAUAAAGAAUUCCUCUCGAUAGAUUUCUUUGAAAUGAUGAGAAUAUGUUAUAGUUUUCUUUGAAAUGAUGAGAAUAUUUUAGAAUUUUCUGGUUGACGCCAGCUGUCAACAACUAUCUUACAUUCCCUUGGCAUCGUGUUCCAUGCCUUUGCAAAAUAUUAAAGGCUCCAAUGCCUCUCUAGCAAUAAGAUUAUUUUUUUAUUUGUCCCCGAAUACAUGUGUCAUUUAUCGAAAAAAUUAAUUUAAUCACAAAAAAAAAAUCCAACUACCAUGCCAUUUCACAAUUAUUUUUUUUAAUUAUGAUUUAGUGUUAUGUUAACCAGGCAACAUUUAAUAACCAUGAUAUAAAAUACAAAAAUAGUGGGAACAUAGAAAACAUGUUUUUAUAUAUUUUUUUAUUUAAAAGUAUAAAUUUUACUCCAAUUUCACUCAAAAACUAUUGUAAAAAGAUAUUUAUUUUAAAUUUAUCUAUAUUUUUAUAGUUCAUAAAUUAAAAAUAAUACAGAAAUAAUGAUCCAGACUCAUCUAAAAACAGUUAACUCUGACAAAGAUAAUUUAUUAAUCACGAAGUUUUCUAACGAUUAACGAAUUUAAUAUAUAAUAAAGGCCGAGUGAAAGAAUAAAUUUAAUUGUAUAAUGUGCUAAAGUUUGAAUAGGCAACUUUAGAAUCACGAAGCAGUGAUAUCACACGAGAAGAUUGAAAGAAUAAUUAAAGUGAUUUUUCUAACAUUAUAAAAAACAUUAACCGAAAAGAUGACCCCAAGUCAAAGUCUUUGUGGAAAAACAUGAAUAAAAGGUUAGCGCUGGCCAGCUCACUUUCCAUGAAGAUGAUGGAUACAUAGCCCUCCCUUCUAUUUUUAUGGAAAUCACGUUUAGAAAAUCAUGCUUUAACUUUAAUGGUGUUGGCAAAAUCAAACAUUAUUAUUGCUAUCUGAGUUUUUUCUAAGAGAUGGGUCCGUUCCACAAUUUCCCCUCAAGCUUGAGAAGGGAUGAUAUAUAUAUAUAUAUAUAUAUAUAUAUAUAUAUAUAUAUAUAUAUAUAUAUAUAUGCGCUUUAAUUUCAACUUGUAUAAAAAAUAAAUCUUAAUGUAGUGUGUUACAAUAAUUCAACCACGAUUAAUUAAUUUUAAUGGUUGGUCAUUUAAACUUGGGUGUUUUUUCGGUAUUAAUAUAUAUAUUCCUCAAUUAUCAUAAAAAAUUAAGAAAAAACUAAUAAUAAGAUUAAAAAUAAAUGUUUUAUUCAUCGAAAUAAUUAAAAGUAAGGUUUACUUAAGGUAUAUAUGGGACGAUAAAAAAAUAACAAUAAGAUCAAUUUAUAAAAAAAAAAAUCAUAGAUUUAGUUUUCCUAAAUUUUAAAUGCAGUGUGAAUGCGUUCCGCAAGAAAAAAAAUAGUGCAAAAUUAGCCUUUCAAGAAGUAGAGAAUCUUCCUCUUUGAAGGAAUUAAUUAGUGGGUUGGAAAAAUGUCGUCUUUUGCUCUAAUAUUUUCUUCACUUUGUCAAUAGUUUUACCUUACACUAAUAUUGUCAGAAAAUGAUAUAUACUUCUUGUGUUAUAUCCUUCAAGAUUUCAAUUGAAAAGGAGGGUCGUAAAAAAAUUAAUUUUUAUAAACAUAUCCUUAACUCUGUAUCUUCUCUAGAUAUGCCUGUGACUGAGCUCCAUAAAGAAUUCCUAUUUAACAUUAAUCUGUCCAUCAAGUUUUCUCUAGAUAUGUCUGUGAUUAAGACCAUCUUGAUAAAUGAGAUUUUACUCUGUAAUUUUAAUGCAUAGCUGUCAAUGACCCGAAACAUGCAAAUUAAAAUUCAAAGUGUGAGCAUUGAAUUUCUUUCCGUGUUGUUUCCUCUUUCCCAUUGAUUGAAGAGCGUAAGAGGAAAAACUAAAAAGGCAAAAGUUCUGUUGUACAGUGAAAAAGAGCAUGAGAAAUACAGAGAAACAGAGAUGCAUGAAUCCUUCUCCACUAGCGUCUCUCGUCCAUCGGAUCAUUGUGGUUUCAAGAUUGAUGCCCUCUUUGUUCGAUUCCUCAGACCUUUCGGAAACUGUAUAUAUAUUCUAUAUAAAAGAUGCCCCGUGUUUUAGAAUUUACCCCGCGGGCAAGUCUGUGCAAGGGCAAAAGGGGACGGUGGACUUGACAAAGGGCUGAGGGGUGGGUGAGAUGCUAUGUCAAGAAAUGAUUUUGGAAAAUUUCUUCAUAUUUGUUGAAAAACUAAGAUAAGAUAGGAGUCUUGAUCAAGACAAGAACAUAGGCUCUCCAAGACGAUGGACUUGACAAAGGGCUGAGGGGUGGGUGAGAUGUUAUGUCAAGAAAUGAUUUCCAAAAUUUCUUCAUAUUUGUUGAAUAACUAAGAUAAGAUAGGAGUCUUGAUCAAGGCAAGAACAUAGGCUCUCCAAGACAAUUGAUCAGAAGGAGAGAAGGAAGGCUCUAUAUCCUUAGCACGUCAAACACUCCUUUGCACAUUAGAGAAAUUGUCGAGUUAUUUCUGCUUCUGCUUUUUCUUUUUCUUUUUUAAUAAUAGUCGAGUAUUAUUAUAGAAAGGUGCUAGAACCAAAAUUAUAGUCUAGCUAGCAUAAAAGAAAAACAGAGGACAGUAUAUACAAGACAGGGAGAGGAAGUAAUAACAUAACAUAAUAUAUAUAUGUAUAUAUUAAAAAACCUCGAGUUAACCCGUCAAGUUUAUAAACAAAUUCAAGAGAUUAAAUUUUGAUUUUUAAACACAACCAUCCAGUAAUUUCCUGGUGAUUUCCUUAUGCAUACUGUUUGAUGAAUCAUUUAAGUAAAUGUUCUUGUAAUGUUUUCAAGAGACUCCCCUGUUUUACAACUAAUUCACUUAUAUAUCUUGGAACAUGGCCAAAAACGAAGGGUUCUCCGGUUCAAGAAAAUUAACCAUGAAGCUCGUAGCUAUAAUUUUUAGCCAGAAGGGUGGCCAAAUAAACUCCUAUACACUGUAUCUCUGGAAGAAGUAAAAAUAGAUGUAUGUAUAUUACUUGACCGACACUUGCUUAUGUCAUUAUUUGUUUUUACCUUUUGCUAAUGAUUCCUCACAUUGCUGAUAUUGGUGUCGUUUGUGAGUUCAGGGUUCUUGCUCGCUGCUACUAACUUCUCUAUACCUAGCCUGGUCAUUAAAAAUGAAACUUAAUGAUUUAAUUACAAGAGCAGAAUAGAGACAUUAAAGACGCAUCUUCAGUUUUGUUUCAUAAAUCAGUUUAUAAAACUUUCUUACAAAAAUUAUAUACCAUGCAUUCACAAAUAUCGCAUGUAAGCAAAUUUAUGUUUGUGUGAAAAUGACAUUUUUUUAUAUAUAUAAACAUAAAUAUGAAUCUCAAGCUCUUUUAUAAUAUUAAGAGGUAGUAUAUUAAUAGUUGAACCAUUAUCCACCAAUAUAUAAUUCACCAUCUUUUUAUCGAUAUAGCUUUUAAUAAAUAAAUAAAAAGUUGUUUAUAAAGUUUUGAUAAGUAACAAGUUUUCAUUAUUAAAGGAUAUUUUUAUGGUGCAUACACCUUGAGACAAGUACACCUUGAGACAAGUUGAAAGAGCCAGUCAUGACAGACAUAGUAGGAGUUUUCUUUUAAAUCAUAUCAAAUUGCAAAGUAGCUUAUCUUAGUUAAGGUGUGUUAGGGGUGCUAAUAUCUUUCCUAGCUAUAAUUAGUCUUUUACUCGUAAAUCUCUAACAAAGACCAAUACAUUCGGGUUUUCUAAUAACCCUGAAUUAAAUACUAGAUGAUGACUCCAACAAUCAAACGAACAAGCAAAAAUCACCAUUGACGACGCGCGGGGACGGGCAACAAAGUUAAUGAAUAUUGUUGGUUGAAGAGAAGUAGCAUAUUGGAGGAACAACUCAUGCCACUAAUUUACAGUCACCAUAUUUAGAACUUCUACUCUAAAUUUAUUAUAUUCUAUUGUAUCAAUUGGUUAGAAUAGAUUGUAUAUUAAUCUAAAGUAAAUUCUUAUUUUAAUAACUUUAAAGAUGCACCUCCAUCUAGUGUAUUUAAAAAGAUUUAACAAAUUACUUCUUGUCUCUAAUAGUAAAAAUAAUAUAUUUUUAACAUGUGCUACGCUACAAGUCAGAUUAUAUAUUUUUUCAAUGUAAAAAAAAAUUAUGUAGGUAUUGUUAUAUUUUUCUAUUAGAAAAAAAAAACUUAAACCGUGUGAAAGUUAACCAAAUCUAUAAUUAAUUAAUUAAUUGAGAAUUUGAGCUCCUUAAGAAAAGUUGUUUAUGGACUUUUGUUUUCCUGAGAAAACUCCCUUAAAACCCUUGAGCACCACCUUCUCGAAAAUAUCUAUCUUUGCCAUAACGCAGGGGCUACGUAUCUUUUUAAGAUGAAUUAACAAGUUUCAACUCAUCUCUGUAUCUUCUCUAGAUACAGAGAAUUCCUAUUUAACAAUCUGUCCAUCAAAUUUUUGAUCCCCGAUUAAGACCAUCUUGAUAAAUGAGAUUUUACUCUAUAAUUUUAGUGGAUAGCUGUCAAUGACCUCAUACAUGCAAAUUAAAAUUCAAAGUGUGAGCAUUGAAUUUCUUGUCAGUUUACACCUUUCUGUGGUGUUUCCUCUUUCCAUUGAUUGAAGAGCGUCUAAGAGGAAAAACUGAAAAGGCAAAAGUUCUGUUGUACAGUGAAAAAGAGCAUGAAUCCUUCUCCACUAGCGGCUCUCGUCCAUCGGAUCAUUGUGGUUUCAAGACUGAUGCCCAAUCAUCGCCCUCUUUGUUCGAUUCCUCAGACUGAUGUUAUAGAAUAAUUUACCGAGAGUGGCGGAGGACUUGAGAAAGAGCUGAGGGGUUACGUCAAGAAAUAAUUUUGGAAAAUUUCUUCAUGUUUGUUGAAUAACUAAUAUAGGAGUCUUGAUCAAGGCAAGAACAUAGGCUCUCCAAGACGAUGGACUUGACAAAGGGCUGAGGGGUGGGUGAGAUGUUAUGUCAAGAAAUGAUUUUGGAAAUUUCUUCAUAUUUGUUGAAUAACUAAGAUAAGAUAGGAAGUCUUGAUCAAGGCAAGAACAUAGGCCCUCCAAGACGAUUGAUCAGAAGGAGACAAGGAAGGCUCUAUAUCCUUAGCACGUCAAACACUCCUUUGCACAUUAGAGAAAUUGUCGAGUUAUUUCUGCUUCUGCUUUUUUUUUUUUUUUAAAUAAUAGUCGAGUAUUAUUAUAGAAAGGUGCUAAAGCUAAAAUUAGAGGCUAUAGCUAGCAUAAAAGAAAAACAGAGGACAGUAUAUACAAGACAGGGGAGGAAGUAAUAACAUAAUAUAUGUCUUAAAAAAAACUCAAGUUAAUCCACCAGGUCUUCGCCCCGGAUCAUGAGAACGGAAUAAGAAAACUCAAUAUUAAAAGAUGAAAUUAAAAAAAAAACCAUAAAAAUAUAUAUAGCUUAACAAUAUUAAUUAAUUAUUAAAAUAUUUCAUUUUAUAUAUAUAUUAAAAAUAAAUAUUAAUAAUAUUAUAUCAAUUUGUGAAUGUUUCAAUUUAGAUGCGAAUGGAUGUUUUAUAUAUGACAUUUUUCUUAAGAAACCAAAGGUAUUAAGAAUAUGAAUCAAGGGUUAACGCUACUUUCAUUACGAUGACGGAUAAAGAAGACUUGCUACUUUUUUUAUGGAAAUAACAUGUGGAAAAUCAUGCCUUAAUCUUGACGGUAAUGGCAAAAUCAAACAAUAUCAUUGAUAAAAUGAACCACAAAUGAUAUUAUUUCUGUCAUGACAAUAAGUCUUUUUCUUUUUCUUUUUUUCUAAAAAAUCUAUUUUUUAUAACACAAUCAACAGGUAAGAUGGAUAAGAAUUUGUUAUGUGAGAUGGUCCCUAAGACUAUAUACUGCCAUCUGCAUUAAUUUCCAUGAUAUAGAAUUUUCUUCGAAAUGAUGACAAUAUCUUACAUUUCCUUGGCAUCGUGUUCCAAUGCCUUCGCAAAAUAUUAAAGGCUCCCAUGCCUCUCUAGCAAUAAAAUUAUUUUUUUAUUUGUCCCCGAAUACAUUUUUCAUUUAUCGAAAUAAUUAAUUUAAUCACACACAUAAAAAAAAAUAGAUCCAACUACCAUGCCAAUCCACAAUUUUUUUUUAUUAUUAUGAUUUAGUGUUAUGUUAACCAGGCAACAUUUAAUUACCAUGAUAUAAAAUACAAAAGUAGAGGGAACAUAAAAAACAUGUUUUUAUAUAUUUUUUAUUUUAAAAGUACAAAUUUUUACUUACAAACUAUUGUAAAAAGAUAUUUAUUUUAAAUUUAUCUAUAUUUUUAUAGUUCAAAAUUAAAAAUAAAACAGAAUUAAUCACUAACUUUAUAACAAAACUAGCAAAGGUAAUUUAUUAAUCACUAACUUUUCUGGUUAUAAAUAUAUUUAUAGUUGUCUUUUUCUCUUUUAUAUUUCUAACGAUUAACAAAUUGAAUAUAUAAUAAAUACCGAGUGAAAGAAUAAAUUUAGUUGUAUAAUGUGCUAAAGUUUAAAUAGACGACUUUAGAAUCACCAAGCAGUGAAUCACACAGGAAGAUUGAAAGAAUAAUUAAAGUGAUUUUACUAAAUGUUUUAUUCAUCGAAAUAAUUAAAAGUAAGGUUUACUUAAGGUAUAUAUGGGACGAUAAAAAAAUAACAAUAAAAUUAAUUUAAAAAAAAAUCAUAGAUUUAGUUUUCCUAAAUUUUAAAUGUAGUGUGAAUGCAUUCCGCAAGAAAAAAAUAGUGCAAAAUUAGCCUUUCAAGAAAUAGAGAAUCUUCCUCUUUGAAGGAAUUGAUUAGUGGGUUGGAAAAAUGUCUUUUGCUCUAAUAUUUUCUUCACUUUCUCUAUAGUUUUACCUUGCUCUAAUAUUGUCACAAAAUGAUACAUACUUAUUGUGUCAUCCUUCAAGAUUUCAAUUGAAAAUUAAGGAGGGUCGUCAAAAAUUUAAUUUUUAUAAACAUACCCUUAACUUAAUUUGGAUGUGGAUAAUUGUUUGAAAUAUAUUUACAUCCAAUAUAAACAACUCAUCAAUGAUCCAAGUCGGCAUUGGUUAGCUAAAAUAUUAAAAAUACUUACUCUUUUUUUUUUGGUGGCCAUGCAGUUCCUAUAUAUAUAUAUUAGUUGAAAUUUUAUGAUGUCCAUUAAUCCUUUUAAAUUAAAGUCAAGUUAUUAAUUAUAUCCUAUAAAUUUCUAGAAAAAUUAAUUCUCUCAAAUUUCGUCAUUUUAUUUACAAACUAUAGAAGGCCAUUGCUACAAACUAAAAUUCCAAGCAAGGAAGCUCUUUCAAAAACUUUUAAGCAUUUUUUAUCUACACUUGAGGUUUACAAAAAAUAAAAUUAUAUUGGAUCAAGCUUAAAUACUAUAUAAAAAUUCUUCAACAAUACAUUAAAAAUAAAUCAAAGGUACUCUUUAAAACAUCGAAUCAUUAAAUCUUACAUAUCAAAUAAAUCAAGUUAUCAUAUAUCAAAUUAUAAAGAAGAAUUAAAUGAUUGUUUUAUUUUUUUUAUAAAAAUAGUUUAAAUAGAAAUUAUUAUGUGUGGAUCAUAUGGCCCUAGGCAAAUUAAGGCCUCACAUAUAGCCAGCUAUAGCAUGGGAUAGCCAGCGGUCAUUCCAUCAGGAGAUUUGUGAAUUCUGGAGCCUUUGCAAUGUGCUUGCAUGUGUCCAAGAACCCACCAGGAACUCCAUUUUGACAGGGAAACCUUUGACGAACUGUAUUAUACGUGAUUUGCUCCUGGUUUUAUAAAUUAGAAAGUGUAAAUUGUAAAUCCCAACCAAUAAGAUAUCUACAUAAGAGUCUGUAAAUGUUACAGAUGAUUUAAGUUUGUUUACCAAAUUUUUCAAGAACAUGUUUGUCUUUGGUAGCUUAUUGUCAUAGCUGUGAACUCUGAAGAAAAUUGAUGUAAGAAACCAAAGUCCAUUUUGUUCUAGAUUGUAGAUGGAUAUAAGCUUGGUGAUUCCCAAUUCUUUUAUUAAUUUCAUUUUAUAAAUUCCCUGUGAUGUGUUCUUAAUUUCUAUACCACACCGAUGUCUGUUAGGUUCUGAUUCAAUCGAAUUGGAGCCGAUCAAAAUUGUAAUGACUCACAUGCCCUUGAUUAUGCCCAAGAAGAAAACUAAACAAAUAGUAGAUGAGCAGUGUGCUGAAAAUAAAUAUUUUCAGCAUAUUACAUAGAUCUAAAACAAUAGCACACAGGAAUUAAAAAGAGGAGGGAUCGCUAGGGAUCAUUUUCUUAUCUCCUGUAUCAUAUCUUCCACAAAUCUUAAGUAAUUGAUGAGAAAGUGGAUAUACCACUUUCUCUUCUUUAUUGCACUACUGGCUAAGAUGAGUUCAAGCAUUAAAAGGUUGUGAACGCGGAUGCUUGACUUGCUGUGUACCAUUUUGAUUUUUAAAAGCAACCAUGCAGUAAUUUCCUGGUGAUUUCCUUACGCAUACUGGUGGUCUCUUCCAGAAUCUUUUUCCAAACAACCCUCAUAUUGUUUGAUGAAUUAUUUUCUUUAUUCCCGUUUCAAUGUUUUCAUACUUCGAUACUGUAGAGUAUAUAUUGCAAUGUGAUAUAAGGUUAACUCAUUGCAUUUUCAUUAAUUGAAAGGAUUUCUCUUUUUUUCUUUGUCAAUUACAGCACAUGCAUGGAGGUGUUCUUACUCAGAGUAAAUGCUAUUGUAAUGUUUUCACAUAGACUCCCCUGGUUUGCAACUAAUUCACUUACAUAUUAUAGAACAUAGCCAUAAAUGAAAGGUUCUUUCAAUUCAAGAAAAUUAACCAUGAAGCUCGUAGCUAGAAUUUUUAGACAAAAUGGUGGCGAAGUAAACUCCUAUACUCUGUACCUCUGGAGGAAGUAAAAAAAGAUGUCUAUGUAUAUUACUUGACCGACACUUGCUUAUGUCAUUAUUUUUUUUUUUAACUUUUUGCUAAUGAUUCCUCACAUUUCUGAUAUUGGUGUGGUUUGUGAGUUCAUGGUUCUUGCUCGCUGCUACUAACUUCUCUACUUUGCCUGGUCUGAAAUCUCAGCUCAGAAAACCUAUUCGCAAGCAUAUAACCUGUUAAAAUCCCUCCAACACUUGACUACAAUAAUUUGUUAACUACAUGCUACCUAAUAAACUAAUCAUAGCUCCUAGAGCAUUCAGAAUUCUAUUAUGCUUUUUGGGUUGUAAACUAGUCUCAAUUACCUUUUCAUCCAUGUAUAUAAUUCAGAUAGCAAUUCCUUUUAUAUAAUUUAUAAUAAUCUCCGAAAUCAUUCCUGGGUAUUGUUAACAGAUAGUCCGUCCACGUAUUCUUUACUAUUUUCAUCAUAGCUAUUUCUGUGAAAACUGGAUUAAUGCACCAUUUAUGGUAUUAAAAACCAGAGGGAACAAGCUUUUCCUAUGUAUAAAAUUUGGGUUAAAAACAGUUUCUAUUCAAAUCAUUUUUUGGAUCAAACAGUAGCCCCUGUAAAAUACUUAAACUAACAACUUCUAACUUUAUUGUCUAAUUGUUAACCUAAUACUUCUAUACCAUUAAACAACCACUAAGCAAUCAUAUUUUCAUGAUCUAUACCACUAAGCAAUUAUAUUUUCAUAACCUAUUUAAUUAAUCCGAAACCUUUCUAAAUAUAAUGUUUUUAUUAUCUCGAAAUAAAAAAAACAUAAUCUCACUACAACAUUUAAUAAUUUUUUCCACAUUAAAAAUAUUCAAAUUAGUUUUGUUGGCAUAUAACCUCACCAAACUAUUUGCUUGGACCACAUUGACUGGGAGUCAAUUAUUGUCGUAAUUGAUGAGAAAGUGGAUAUACCACUUUUUCUUUAUAGCACUAUUGGCCAAGAUGAGUAAUUUCCUGGUGAUUUCCUUAUGCAUACUGGUGGGCUUCCAGAAUCUUUUUCCAAAUAAUCCUCGUUAGACACUACUUGGGGUUUAGCUUGGAGUAAGAUUUGUAUCAUGAUUUUUUAUCAGGUUACGGGUUAACUUGGAUCAACCUAAUACUAAUUUUGUGUGUGUGUCAAAACAAUAUUGUUUUUUAUAUAUAAACCUAAAUAUAAAUCUCGAGUUUUUUUAUAAUCUUAAGAGGUAGUAUAUUAAUAGUCGAAUCAUUAUCCACCAAGAUACAAUUUACCAUCUUUUUAUUGAUAUAUGUUUUAAUUAAAAAAUAUUGUUUAUGGAGUUUUGAUCCAAGCAACACGUCUUCAUCAUUAAUGGAUAUCUUUGUAGUGCAUACACCUUGAGACAAGCUGAAAGAGUUAGUUUUAGUAGGAGUUUUCUAUAUAUUUUUCUCAUUUUUUAUGUUAAAUUAGGAAGAGAUGAAUAAGAAACUGAACUUGAGGAUGGACUAUAUCAUUGUUAACUUCUUGAUAAGAAUACUCCAACAUGAUGGUCAGUGCAAAAAAGAAAACAAAGUAAUUAAACAAGACAGACUUAGGAUUCCACAGAUCAAUAUACCUACAAAACUUCUCGAGUGAAACGACCAACAAUAAGGCUAAGCUAUGAGGUCAACACACUAAAAAGCACCCAUUAGCUGGACACAUUCAAGAAAAUUGCCGACAAGUUUCGAACUAACACAAUUUUGGGCCAAGAAUGCAAGAAGCAAACAACUUAUUCCCUCACCAGCAACCACAACAAAUUCAGUACUCCCAUGCUAAGAUCUUCUGAAGUUGGAGAACUUGCGAAAAUUAAUACGUACAAGGCUUCAACACUCCAAAGCCUGCAAGAGAAAUAUCAAAGCAAAAUAAGUAGCGUUAAACAGCAGCCAUUUCAUCAUUUUUAAUUUUAGUAUAACGCAAUAAUAUGAACCAGCCUUGAUUCUCAAAGGCACCCAACUAAUUCAUUAGCCUUCAAAUCAAGACUUUGCAAUUCUUUCAAAGGCAGAAACAAAGAUGCUUUGAGAACCCACUCGCCUAACCCCCAAUCCCCAGCACCCCCAAGAGAGAGUUGGAUCACUCGCCUUUCAGUGGUAUCGCACACGAUCCUAGACCACGCACAACAAUUACUGCCCAGGUAUCUCGGCAGUUAUGGCUUGUGUAGGUUUUGGUUCACGAUGGAGAUGAUGGAUACAAUAAUGUAUUUCGACAACAAAACUUUCAAUUCUUGUAGAGUUCUUGUUAGUUGAUUGUUUUAGGACUGCAACGUGUCUAAGUAUCAGAAAUUAUUUUAUGCUUUCAUUCUGUUUUUAGUUUGUCCUAGUCUUUAGGAAGUGGUUAGUUUGUUGGCACACGUUGCUGUUCAUGGCACACGUUGAUGUUCAUGGCUUAAUUCUCGGUUUCAGUUUUUUUCUCUGUUUCUAUUUAAUGUAAGCUUGCUGCAUAAUAAUAUUUGAAUUCCCAGUUUGUAUUCCCUUAUCUACUAUUUCUAUCUUUCUCCCUUCUCCAUAUCCAUAAACUUCUACCUCUGUUAUACUCCUUUCUUUCUUUAAAACUAACAAAUUGGUAUCAGAGCUUUUAUUGUUCUUAAGGGAUCUGUGUGUGACUUUGACGUAUCAUGGAAGCUGAAACAAGUUUCUCCUCAAUUGCUCCGCCAGUGUUCAAUGGUGACAACUACCAAAUUUGGGCAGUACGCAUGGAGACAUAUUUGGAAGCUUUGGAUCUUUGGGAAGCAGUGGAUGAAGACUAUGAUGUUCCUGUACUUCCAAACAAUCCCACCAUGACGCAGAUCAAAACUCACAAGGAGAUGAAGACGAAGAAGUCAAAGGCCAAAGCAUGCUUGUUUGCUGCGGUGUCAACAACAAUCUUCACAAGAAUAAUGUCCCGUAAGACAGCCAAGUCUAUAUGGGAUUACCUUAAGGAAGAAUAUGCAGGAGAUGAAAGGAUAAGAGGAAUGCAGGUUUUAAAUUUGAUACGGGAUUUCGAGUUGCAAAAGAUGAAGGAAUCUGAAACAAUUAAAGAGUAUUCAGAUAGACUUCUUGGAAUUGCAAAUAAAAUCAGGCUACUCGGGUCUGAAUUCAGUGAUUCAAGGAUUGUGGAAAAAAUCCUUGUCACAGUACCUGAAAGGUAUGAAGCGACAGUUACCACCCUGGAAAAUACCAAGGAUCUGUCAAAAAUUUCCUUGGCAGAAUUACUUAAUUCCCUACAGGCGCAAGAGCAGAGACGACAUAUGAGGCAAGAGGUCAACACUGAAGGAGCCUUAUUUGCAAAACAUCAUGGAGCUUACAGAAACAAAAGGAAAGAGAAGAAAGGCCAAGAGGGAAAUUCUUUUGCUCCUGUUUUGAACAACAACAGAAGCAAAAAAGGAAGCUUCAAGGGUAAAUAUCCUCCUUGCCAUCAUUGUAAAAAGGAAGGUCACCCUCCAUUCAAAUGUUGGAGGAGACCUGAUGCAAAAUGUUCAAAAUGCAAUCAAAUGGGACAUGAAGCAGUAAUUUGUAAGGGAAGAGCUCAGCAGCAUGAAGUUGAUGCCCAAGUUGCAGAACAAGAAGAUGAAGAUCAGCUUUUUGUAGCAUCCUGCUUUGCAAGUAGUAGUUCGACUGAAAGUUGGUUAAUUGACAGUGGUUGUACCAAUCACAUGACCAAUGACAAGAAACUCUUCAGAGAUUUGAGGCCAACUGAUAUUACUAAAGUCAAAAUUGGCAAUGGUGAUCACAUCUCUGUCAAAGGAAGAGGGACAAUCACCAUAACCAGCACAGCAGGCACAAAAACAAUUUCUGAUGUUCUCUACGUACCAGAAAUUAAUCAAAAUUUGUUGAGCGUAGGCCAAUUGAUUGAAAAAGGCUUUAAAGUGCUCUUUGAAGAUGGUUUCUGUCACAUACUGGAUGCUAACAGUGAGGAAAUUCUCAAAGUGAGAAUGAAAGGAAAAAGUUUUUCGUUUGAUCCUAUCAAAGAAGAACUUGCUGCAUUCUCCAUGAAAGCUUGCAACACAGAGAUAUGGCACAAGCGACUUGGUCAUUGUCACUUACAAAGGAUGCAACUUAUGCAGGAAAGGGAACUCAUAGUUGGCUUACCAACCUUUGGAGAUCACUUACCGAAUUGUCAUGCUUGUCAAUACGGUAAACAAAAUAGGAGACCAUUCCCAAAGUCAUCCUGGAGAGCCACUCACAAGUUGCAGCUAAUCCACACAGAUGUAUCAGGUCCUCAAAGAACUGAAUCAUUAGCAGGUAGUCGAUAUUACAUUGCUUUUAUUGAUGAUUUUUCAAGAAUGUGCUGGAUUUUUUUCUUGAAAUUCAAGUCAGAAGUAGCUGGAGUCUUCUGGAAGUUCAAGAAGAUGGUAGAAAAUCAAAGUGGCUGCAAAAUUCAAGCUGUAAGGUCAGAUAAUGGAAAGGAGUACACUUCAGCAGAAUUUGAUAUGUUUUGUGAAGAAGCUGGCAUUGAACACCAGCUUACUGCUCCUUACACUCCGCAGCAAAACGGAGUAAGUGAAAGGAGAAAUAGAUACAUAAUGGAGAUGGCCAGAUGCAUGCUACAUGACAAGGAGUUACCCAAAUAUUUUUGGGCUGAAGCGGCCAGUACUGCUGUUUUCUUACAGAACAGAUUAUCCACCAAAGCAUUGAAGGAUAAAACUCCAUUUGAGGCAUGGUAUGACUAUAAACCUUCACUCAAUUUUCUUAGAGUGUUUGGUUGCUUGUGUUUCUCUCACAUUCCACAGGUCAAGCGGGAUAAACUUGAUAAAAAGUCAGAACCAGGCAUCUUUGUUGGGUACAGCUCUUUCUCGAAGGCAUAUAAGGUUUAUCAACCUCAAACAGGGAAGAUAAUUGUCAGUAGAGAUGUGUUCUUCAAUGAAGAAGAGAAAUGGAAUUGGGAACAGACAAAAGAGACAUCCACAAGCAAGCAAAAAUCAAGUCUAACCUCCCAAACAAGAGAAGAGCAAGCAUCAGAACAAUGGCAAGAAGAAUUGGAAGAUGAUCUUCCAAUUCGUGGAACAAGACCGCUCCAUGAUAUCUAUCAACGAUGCAAUGUGGCCAUUUGUGAACCUGCUGGUUAUGAAGAGGCUAUUAAAGAUCCAAAAUGGCAGAAGGCGAUGGAGGAGGAGCUGUCAAUGAUAAAAAAGAACAAGACUUGGGAGCUAGUUGACAGGCCAAAGGAUAGAAAGAUUAUUGGAGUAAAAUGGGUGUUUAGAACCAAGCUCAAUGCUAAUGGUUCCAUCAACAAACACAAAGCCAGGCUUGUUGUUAAGGGAUAUGCUCAAGUCUUUGGAGUUGAUUACUCGGAUACAUUUGCCCCUGUUGCUAGAUUGGAUACUAUUCGGCUUGUGCUAGCUAUAGCAGCUCAAAAUGGGUGGAAGGUGUUUCAACUAGAUGUGAAAUCUGCUUUUUUAAAUGGUAUUUUGCAGGAGGAAAUCUAUGUUGAACAGCCCGAGGGAUUCAUGGAACAAGGUGAAGAGGAGAAGGUCUACUUGCUCAAGAAGGCUCUAUAUGGCUUGAAACAAGCACCUAGAGCAUGGUAUAGCAAGAUAGAUGAGCAUCUGUCAAGCCUAGGAUUUCAGAAAAGUUUGUCAGAGGCUACUCUUUAUGUGAAAUGUAAAGGAGACAAUCUGCUUAUAGUCUCUCUUUACGUUGAUGAUCUUUUAAUCACAGGUGACAAUGCCAAGCUUGUUGAAGAGUUCAAAAGGGAAAUGAUGAAAUUUUUGAAAUGACAGACCUUGGACUCAUGGCAUACUUUCUGGGAAUGGAGAUCAAACAGUUAGAAAAUGAAGUUUUCAUCUGUCAAAAGAAAUAUGCCAAGGAAAUUCUCAAGAAGUUUCAUAUGGAGGACUGUAAGGCAAUGGCUACUCCAAUGAAUCCAAAGGAAAGCUUAAGUAAAGAGGACGGCACAGACAAAGUUGAAGAAGGCUAUUUCAGAAGCAUGAUUGGUUGCCUAAUGUACCUAACAGCAACCAGACCAGAUAUUCUUUUUGCUGUAAGCAUUCUCUCUCGUUACAUGCAUUGUGCUAGUGAAGUGCAUCUUAAAGCUGCAAAAAGAGUCAUUAGAUACAUCAAAGGAACUAUUGAUUUUGGUGUAAAAUUCAAGUACUGUCAAAACUUCAAGUUGCUGGGAUUUUCUGACAGUGAUUGGGAUGGAUCAGUGGAUGACAUGAAGAGUACAUCUGGGUAUUAUUUUAGCCUAGGAUCAGGAGUUUUCUCAUGGAGUUCCAAGAAGCAAGAGACUGUAGCACAGUCUACUGCCGAGGCUGAAUUUAUUGCUGCUACAGCAGCAGUGAAUCAAGCUUUGUGGCUGAGGAAGUUGUUCUGUGAUUUACAUUUGAAGCAACAAAAUGAUACAGAGGUGUUUGUGGACAAUCAGGCAGCAAUUGCAAUCUCCCACAAUCCUGUUUUUCAUGGAAAAACCAAGCAUUUCAAGAUCAAAUUUUUCUUUUUAAGGGAAGUGCAGAAGGAAGGAGAAGUGAGCCUCAUUUAUUGCAAAUCUGAAGAUCAGCUUGCAGACAUUUUUACAAAACCUUUGCCAGCAAACAAGUUUGAACCUCUUAGGCAAAGACUUGGAGUUUGCAGCUCCUAAAUCAUGGAGGAGUGUUAGUUGAUUGUUUUAGGACUGCAACGUGUCUAAGUAUCAGAAAUUAUUUUAUGCUUUCAUUCUGUUUUUAGUUUGUCCUAGUCUUUAGGAAGUGGUUAGUUUGUUGGCACACGUUGCUGUUCAUGGCACACGUUGAUGUUCAUGGCUUAAUUCUCGGUUUCAGUUUUUUUCUCUGUUUCUAUUUAAUGUAAGCUUGCUGCAUAAUAAUAUUUGAAUUCCCAGUUUGUAUUCCCUUAUCUACUAUUUCUAUCUUUCUCCCUUCUCCAUAUCCAUAAACUUCUACCUCUGUUAUACUCCUUUCUUUCUUUAAAACUAACAGUUCUUUAUGGAAAAGGGAUUGCGAAGAGGGGACUCUUUAUCAACAUCUCUUUUCAAUAUAGCAACUGAGGGUCUUAGUAGAAUGCUAAGAACAGAUGUGAUUUGGGACUUAUAAAAGGUAUUUGUUUUGGUCAUGAUCAACCGAAAAUUACUCACUUUUAGUUUGUAGAUGAUACACUCAUCUUCAGUUCAUAUGAUUUUCCAUCUCUUCAAAACAUCAAAAGAACUAUGUGAUGUUUUGAGUUGAUUUCUAGGCUGAAGGUUAAUUUCCACAAGAGCUCAAUCACUAGAACUAUUGUUACUUCUUUAGCAAUCUAAUAUGUAGGAUGGAGGGGAUGCCAUUUAAGUAUUUGGGCCUGCCUAUUUGUGCAUCUUCAUCUCAUGUGGAAAACUAUUGUUAAUAGAAUCAAUAGCAAGUUGGCUGCCUGGAAAGGUCGUCACUAAGCUUGCUUAAAUCAAUUAUAAAUAAUCUCCCUAUCUACAACCUUUCUUUAUUUCCUAUCACAUCCAUUGUUGCUACCAAAAUUGAGAAACAUAUCAUAUCUUUCUUUGGUUCUUAGGAGGAACGAGGGAAAAAACUAUGCAAUGUUAAAUGGGCAUCGGUCGUUCCUCCAAAAACAAAAGCAAAAAGGGCUAGGUAUAAACUACAUUAUUGAUAAAAAUCAUGGGUUAAUAACACUUCCAUACCAAUCAAAGAGAUAUGUAUUUUUCCUAUUACUUUCUCAAGUUACCAUGAUGAGAGUGUAAUGUGACUCCAAUAAAUGUAGGAUAUGUUAGGUAUAUAAUGUCUCUGUGAUAUGGACAUCGUCAUUUUUGGUAUGUCAAAUUCUUACUAUUUCACUCUUAAAAGUAGAAAGAUCUACUUAGUUGGACCACCAGUACCAAGGCUUAACAACAAUAAUGAGGAAAAAAAAGCAUGUGUAAGGAAAGGGAUUUAAUCUUAUAAGCCCAAAUAAUUUUGACAAUCAGGUUCAUCAAGAGUUUGUUGUAUUUGCUUUAGUGGUUAAGAAAGUUUUAGAGAAACCACUUGAAGAAGUAAUUACGGUUUUAAAAGAGUUUCAAGAUGUUCGUCCUCUCAAGGUUCAUAAUUCCUUACCCCGUUAUACAUGACAUUCAACACGUAAUAGAUUUUAUCCAGUGAACCUGGUGAUUCCACCUCACGUUCAUCCUCCACCCGCUGAAGACUACCAUUGAAAGAGAAAAGCUCCACCUUUGGGUAUAAACUGGAUUGAUUGCAUUCCAUCUGAAUCACGUGGGCUUAAUGGAAGGAACGAACAAUUGUCGGUUUUAAAAGUUUGGUUUGUAACAAUCAUUGUUGUCAUAACCCAAUUUUUGAUCAUUUUAUUUUUAUUUUUAUUUUAUUUUUAUUUUAUUUAUUGAAAAGGAUAAAAAAAAAUUGAUGAAAAAAUAAUAAUGAUGAUGAAAAAAGAAGUAAAAUGAAAUAAAUGAAGAAUGAAUUAAAUUUUAGGUUAAGGGUAAUAUGAAUGAAAGUUUUGGGGUUUAAUUAAACAUUGGAAUUAAUGUAAUUAAGGUUGGAAUUAAUUUAUUUAAUCUAAUUAAGAGUUUAAUUGGAGAAUUGAUAAGUUUGGAGACUUAAUUAAGCUUGAAAUUAAUUCAAUUAAUCCAAUUAAGGGUUUAAUUGGAGAAUUGAUAAGUUUUGAGACUUAAUUAAACUUGGAAUUGAUUUAAUUAAUCCACUUAAGGGUUUAAUUGGAGAAUGGAUAAGUUUUGAGACUUAAUUGGACUUUGGAUUUAAUUAAAUUAAUGAAAUCAGGGACUUAAUUAAGGAAAUAUCAAAGUUUGGAGUUUAAUUGAGGUCCAAAUUGAAACAAAUAAAAUCAAAGGACCAGCAUGAAAAUGGCGCCGAAAUACAGGGGUCCAAUUACAAUUUAACUAGGGACUUAAUUACAAAAAUAUCAAACAUACAAGGUCCAAAAUGCAAAUAGCCAUUAAACACAAAAACGGCGCCGUUUUCCCUUUUCUGUUCAUCUUCUUCCCGACUGAAACGGCGCCCCGCCGCUCCCACCAUUACACCUGCAAUUAACACCAUGGCUUAAAGAAACGGCAUUCUUCUCUGGCUAUAAAAGCCAGAGAUAGUCCAUGCAUAAGGGGGAGAGAAAAAAAACAGAGCCACAAACGGCAGAAAUAAGGAGUCACAGAACCGGAGGAAAGAAAAGGGAGCAGAACCGGGUAGGGAGACUGUACAGAUGGGAGCAGAAUUUGUGCCCUUGUUUCUUCUAAAAGACACAGAGGCGCUCGGCGCCAUUCUCUGGUAAGCCAGAGAAGGCCAUAGAGAAGGAAACAAGUAACUCAGGGGGCAGCGCCUUCCCCCCUUCACCACUGAACUCACAGACGAAGAAGAAAAGGCAGCAGACCAAGAAACCCAGAAACAGGAGGACGAAGACACUGGAAACACGAACAGGGGAACCGAGAACCAGCAAGAAAGAAAACCGAAACAGAGGAAGAACAAGAGGACAACGCAGGAGCAUACAAAGGAACCGAAGCAGAGUUUUGGCCGCUCAUCCAUCACGCCUCCGUCUCCUAAAUCAGAGAGCAAGCCAGGCGAACAAAAACGGAGAAGAGCCAGAGAACAAGAACGCUUCGCCUCCAGCAGACCAGGUAAGUUCUUCCUCUUCCCCACUUUUCAAAUUCAUUUCACCUAUUACUUUGCAAAGGUAAUACACUUACCUUAUUACUGUUGCCAGCAUGCGUGCCCAGCCGGGUCACUGGCUUGGGCCAAUGACCGGGCUGGGUCCAGCCCAGCCCAUGUGGGCUGAGCUGGACCCAGCCCAAAAAAAAUAAAAAAAAUAAAAAAAUAAAAAAAAUAAAAAAUAUGUAUGCAUGAAUAAAAAUAAUGUAAAUUUAUUGGUUUAUUCACUUGCGCUAGAGUCAGGAAUAAAAAUACCGGUUUAAAUUUAUAUUAUUUUUAUUCGUUGUAUUUUUAUUUUGUUUAGCUAGAAAAAAUAAAAAAAGUGUGCAUGCGUAAAAAAUAAAUUUAUUUUUAUUUAUUUAUUCACUGGCGCUGGAGUAGGGAAUAAAAUAUAUUGAUCUAAUUUUUGUCGUAGCUACGAAUUUUUACCAACGCCAAAGUUGGAAUUAUUCGAGCUCGAAUAUUCACUGGUGUCAGAGUCUGGAAUAUUAUAGACAAAUCAUCACAGCAUAAAUUAAUAAAUAUUUAGCAAUUUAAGAAAAAACCAACAAUGCAGUCUGCCUUAGACAUAAUGUUUAAGGGGUGAUAAUAUCUUCCCUUUUACAUAACCAAUCUCGAGUCAUAGAAUCUCUGUUGACCAGUUAGGGUUUCUAGUAACCAUAAUACUAGGUGGCGACUCCUCAAACAAUACUAUUUUUACUAAAAGAACAAGAUGCCAGAAACUUGUUUUUUUUUCAUUAAUAAUUCAAGAGAAUUAUUUUUUAGGACCGUCGCGAUGUCGGGUGUGACAAUUGUAAUUUCAAAUCUCCAUACUCCUUCCAUUUAAGCAAGUAAUAAUAACAGAGAAUAUGUAUAAAUCUCAGUGUUGUUUUAAAUUUUAUGUAAGAUAGUACAGUUUCAUUCAAAAAAUGAGAAAGAACAAUAAAAAUCCUCAAAUUCUACCACCUUUGUAAGAUUGACAAGCUUCGCCUACUCUAACUGUAACGAAAGAUUCAGUGCCUAAUCUCUGGACGGAGAAGGGGACGCCCUUGUUAUGUACACGGUUGCUCUAAAUGAUUCGAUGAUGCUCAUUUUAAACAUAUCACGUCAGGUUAUCAAUCUCGUUCCGGAUAGUGUUUUAUUUUUUAAUUCAAACGGUAUGUUUUGAUUUCGGAGCAUUUCAGCAUGCUAUUUCAAGAUUAUACUGUUUAUAUAUAUAUAUAUAUAUAUAUAUAUAUAUAUAUAUAUACUUAAUAAACAUAAGUUCAAUUCAUAUUUAAAUAUAAACUAACUUGAAAUUAUGUAAUUUAAAUUUUAAACACAAGUAAAAAAGUGAGAGUUGAACCGAUAUGACCCGAUCGACUUAUGGGUCCAAAGACAACAACUAGUAAGACUAGAGUUUGACUCAAAAAAGUUUAAGAUGACAUAUUUUCAAAAACAAUAUUGAGAUAACAAUUUAUUGGAUUAACUCGAAUCAACUCAGGUUAACCUUCUAAAUCCAUAAUCCAGGUUAUGAGACCAUAAUAACCCCAAAUAAAGCAAAUAAAAAUGAAUUCUUAAUAAACCUAUUAUUGAAUGGUUAAAUUAAAAAAAAAAUUAUUCUAAAAAAAGAACACAAAAAAUAACCUUUCAAAACAAAAUUAUGAAAAUGUCACUAGCAAUUUUGCAAGGCCUUUCUAAACUCCAAUUGCCCCAUAAUUUUAACCUGAGAUAUAAAAAUAUAUUAGGAGAAUCUUGAUAGAAAGCAAAUAAAAAAUCAUAAAAUCUAAUUUUUAAUCAAUCUAAUGUUGAAUAAUAAUAAAAAAUUAAUUAAAAAAUAAAUCUAAUUCAACCGGAUUAAUCCACUAAACCAAGUUGAAUAACUAAGAUGUUAUGUCAAGAAAUGAUUUUGGAAAAUUUCUUCAUAUGUGUUGAAUAACUAAGAUAAGAUAGGAGUCUUGAUCAAGGCAAGAACUUAGGCUCUCCAAGACGAUUGAUCAGAAUGAGAGAAGGAAGGCUAUCAUUCUCCUACGCACUAACUCUUAGUCUCAGAGAAGAAACAAUUACUUGGUUCUAUAUCCUUAGCACAUCAAACAUGAGGGGAUGAACAAUAUGGUUGAAAAUUAAUUUUUUUUUUAUAAUCAACUUUGGGUUAUUGUGCCUUAAACUUUGUUAUUUGUUUUAUUUUAUUUUUAAGGUUAUUUCUAUUUAAUAUCCCAGGUCAUGAAUAAAUCAAGUUAAUCUGAGUUCAUUCAAUUUUUCUUUAAUUGAUUAUUUUAAUCUUAUUAUUUAUUACAUUAUUGGUGUUUGAGUUUCAUGAAUUUUGUCACUUUUAUCUUAGGGGGUUUUUUCAUCUUUUUGUUAUUGAUUAACUUUGGUCUUGACUCUUGGCAAUGUUUGGAUAAAAACAUGACUGCGAUAAUGAAUUUAUAGACUUGCAGACUAUAAAUUAUUUCAGUUUCUCUAAUCACAGUGGCCAUUAUCCAACCAAUAAUCUUGGCAGUUCAAUAGAGAACAAUAAUAGAGUGAAAAAAGUAGCAUGAUCUGUCAGAUAUGCAAGAGUUCAUUGCAAAAAGAGAAAUUAAUGAAAUCUAGCAAGCAAUGCUCAAGCCAUCUAAAGCAGACAAUGCAAGUUUCUGUAUUUUUUUCUUGCAAAUUUCAAUUCAGACCAAGAUAAUCCGACCCAAUCUGUUUUUUUAACGAACGAUGCUCAAGCCAUCUGAAGUAGAGAAUGUAUGUUUCUUUUUUUCUUUUUAUUUUUUUCAUGUUUAUUCCGGACCAAGAUAAUCAGAUCCAAUCUAUUGUUGUGAAUUACAAAUGAAAAGAAAAAAGACAAUAAAAGCUAUCUAUUGUGCAAGCCACUCAAACUGUUUAUGGAAGUUGGAAAGGCAGGGAAGGCAAAUCUAGUUUCUCAUUGCUUCCUCGUGAACUCCAGGCUAAAAGUAACAGUGGAACUACUGUCCUUUGAACAUAACAUUUAAAGUAGUUGGUGGAAAAUUUUCUUUUGAACAUCAUAAAAAGUAGAAGAAUUGAAAGGGAAACAACAAAUGCUAAGGCAAAUUGAAAGGGAGAAGAAUGAACAAUGGCAUGGAAAGUAACUCUUAAGCGAAAGAUCAAUCAUCAUAUUUAAGACAAAGCCAUAGUAAGACAAUUAAGCAUGCCAAAGUUCUUUUAUAUGUAUCUGUGAGAAAAAGGGUGAUGUUCAUGUAACCUAAGUUGUUGAUUCCAAGUACAUUUGAGAGCUUCAUCUAGAAAAAAAAAAUCAACAUGGAAUGUUAAAAACGAUCGAUCAGUUAAGAAAUGAAAGAGGCAAUGCAUGGAUAAACCAAUGGAAGCUAAAAAGCUAAUGUUGUCCCUAGUAAGCAAUUGUUGCCGCAAUGACAUAUGAGUAGCUAGAGAAAAAAAAAGAAAAAAAGAAAAAGAGACGCUUGAAGGUUAGAGAAGGCAUCUCUGAGUGGAAGGAGGCUGAGCUGCGCUAUUUUUUAAAAGUAAAUAACAAAAAAACUUGUAUUCUUUCGAGAAGUGUUUAUGAGUGUGGUAGUGGUUGCUUUUUAGAAUAUUUUUCGCUUGAAAAUGGAUCAAAAUAAAAUUUUAUUUAAUUUUUAAAAAUUAUUUCUAAUAUUAUUAUAUUAAAAUGAUCUAAAAACAUAAAAAAUAUAUUAAUUUGAAGUAAAAAAAUAAUUUUUUUUUAAUUUUUUUAAUAAUAUUUUAAAAAACAAACAAAUAAAAUAUUAGAAAGUAGACUACAAGUCAAAGUCUUUUUGGAAAAAGACAUGAAUAGAAGGUUAGAGCUACGUAGCUCAUUUUCUGCCCUAAUAAAGAUCAAGGCCUCUUCAGAAAACUAAGUAUGUAGGCAUACACCCAAUCCCAAGCACAGUCAAAUCAUUUUUUUAUAUAUAGGGAUAUAGCUUCACAUAACAGAUAAAAAAAAUUAAAAGAUAAUAAAAUUAAAAAAAUAAUUAUAAUUUUAUAAAUUAUUACAAAUAAAAUAAAUAUUAAUUAAAAAAAUAAAAACCAAAUAUAAUAAAUUAAAAUAAUCAAUUUAAAAAAGAUUUAAAAAGUAAAUAAGAAUAAAGUCAUGUAUUUCACUUUGCUCUCUCUCUCUCCCUCCCUCCCUCCCUCCCUAAGGCGUAGCUGUGCAUCUAGUUAGGAAGAACAUUUUACAACUUAACUCAAGGUCGAGCAUGGUCAGGGUUAUUGUGUUGUCUGUUCCGUGUGUAAUGUGGGGUUCAAUCCAUGUGAAUCACACGAGUACUUGUCAAAUUAGUUAUUUCUUGUUUGUAAGUAUUAUUGUAUUGCAAAGACAAAAAUAAGAUGCAACUUAUGGCGUGGUCGUCCAACCUGGUUCUGGUUUUGAUAAUGUUAAAAAUCUAUUUUGUUGAAUUGUUGAUUUACUUGUGACUUUUCGGGUUAACUAUAUCAAUUUUUUAAACAAAACAAUGCCAUUUUUUUAAUAAAAAAUUGGUUCUGACCUAGAAAUAUAAUAUUAGAACUUAAACCUUAUUGAUUAUCUAAAACUCAAUGGGAAAUUUAAUUUUGAAAUAGAUUUUUAUAAAAUUAAAUAUUAACUAAGUAUCAGGAAGUUUAUUUGAAAUUACAAUAACCUUAUACAAAACAAUCAUAAACAAAUUUAUUAAAUUCAAUGGAGUUCAUAAGUAGGAUUACGAGUUCAACAAGUUAAGCCACAAAGCCUCGAUCGAUCUAAUAUGUUUUUGUUUUAAUACAAAAAAAAUACAUAAAAAAAUUAAGUUAGACCAUAUUUCUACCUAUUAUCUGGGUUGUUUUCAGACUUGUUAAGUCGACUAAAACAUAUUAAAACAACUUCCAUAUAGUUAAAUUUAAAACUUGAGUAAGAAAAAAAAAUUAAAUCAGAAAAUUUUAAUAUUAAUUUGUUGAAUCGGAUUUAAUAAAUGCUAAAAAUCUGAAUAUUUCUUUUUUACUCAAUUUGUUUUUAAUUCAACUCGCAUAAUAACACAGUAUAGUAAAAUAAAUAGAUAUAAAAUAAUUUGAUGGAUCCUCGGGAUAAAAGAUUGUUUUAGGACAUUUUGCUAAUUUCUUUUGUUAUCUAAUCAAUCAAGCUCACAGUGAAUAAGUAUAUAAAUAUAUACAAUUAAAUUAAAUAACAUAUAAGAGAAAAAUAAUCGAAAGGUAAAGCUAAAGUGAUGCGACGUUGAGCCACUAGUCGAUAGUUGUAACGUCAGUUUGUUGGUUCGUCGUUCGUUUCUCGGAUUUAUUGAUCUUUAGGUUGUCUGUUUCUAGAAAAGAAAGAAAAAAAUAUUUAUAUUAUCAAUGCAAUGCAAUGCAAUGCAAUGCAAUGACUAAAUAAUAUUUAAAUAUUAUCAUAGCUUUGUCCUCAUACCUAAGGAAGUAUACUACGUCUUUUUCUCGAUUUGUUUUGAGUUUGAAAUUAUAUCUGUAAACCCAUUAAUUUAUCUAGAAAAAAAAAUUACAGGGUAAUUGGAUAAAUCCUUAAGGUCAUCAUAUUAUAUCAUCGAUAUAAACCAAUUAUUUUUAUUAAAAUAAUAAUAUUUUUUAACUAGUCAAAAUAACCUUCCAUGUAUAAAAAAGAGGCCUUUUCUGCCAAGUGCAGGGGAGAACAUUCUGAAAAGUAAAUGAAUUAAUUAACUCUCUUGGUAUUCUAGUUUUGGCUUGAACGUAUUGACAUCCAUGACAAGAGGUGGAGGUUCCGAUGUUGUACAAGACAAAAAACUGAGUUGAUCACCUUAAACCAGUCCUGUCUUCACGAGGUUGGAUUGAGUUAGCCUAAAAAAAGGGAUCUCAAAAAAGGUGAUGAAGUCACCUUCUCUGUGGUGGACAUGAAGGGAGCUGAAGAUCUGGAAUUGGCAAUUCAAGCUCGGAAAAGAAUCAAGCUAUUCGGCCAAGAUUUUUGGAGUAAUCCUUUGUGAAGAAGAAGAAGAAGAAGCUACUCCUCGCAUAAAAUAUAGGUGUUGAUCGAUGUAGCUUUAUCUUCUAUCUUCUAGUAUCAGUUCUUUCUUUCUUUCUUGCCUUUUCUUUUUUUUUCUCCUGGGAAGGAAGGCUUGGGGGUGUUUGAUGCUAGCUAUCUCUUAAAAUGUCUCUCCUAGAACUUAGAAUCAUGUGAGAAAAAGAGUGAAUCUUCUAACCAAAUAUAUAUAUGUAUAAUAUAUCCUUACAAGAAAUAUUCCAUAUAUACUUUUUCUUAAAUUAUAAAUUAAAAAGAAAUUGGUUAUAACAUGGUUAACGAACACGCGAAAAUAAACAGGUGUAUUUCUUACACAAAUUCUUUUUUUUUUCUUACAAGUUUUUUUACCUGUCAAAAUAUACUCUUAUUUAUUUUUAUUUUUUCCAUUGGUAGCAUAUCAGUCCUUAAGGCGAGGGUAAUACUAUGUUUCCCAUUUGUAAGUGGUGGAGAUAUUGGAGGCCACUCUCCCUGGAAUCAAUUUAUUGCUGUUGAUAUUUCUUCACCGGCGAUCUUGGAAAGCCCAACAUGGAAUUCCAGUUCAUGGAAAAGGCAUGCAGCAAGGACCAUAUGUUCUUUGCAUUUGAAUGUUAGUAAUCUCGAGGUUUACUUGGUCAAUGAGGAUGGAACUACCUUGUCUACUUUGAUGCCAAGGUAUAGAUUUUGUGCACAGAAGAUUGCGUCUGUGAGUAAUAGCUAGAGCUGGUUGCCUAUGUACAAUUAGUGUGCUUUGGCAGGAAGACCCCGUGACUGGUCCUUGGAUAGCUGAGAAAGCCAAGUCUCUGGCAACUUAAGAGGAAUCCAGGAGCAGGAAAAAAAUCGAGGUGAAAGGAUAUGAAUUUGCUAGUGCAACUGCUGCAAAGGAUCUAGGAGACAUAAAUUUGCGAACCAGAGGAGAGUUAAUUUUGAGCUCUGCAUUCUUCUUGCAUGUUCAUCUGUUUUCUGUUGUGGUUGAUCUUAGCAGUUCUCAGUAUAGUAAUUUGCAUUUCCUUCUAGAUCAGAUGAUUAAUGGAUUAUCAGGCAUGGCCUGCGAUGUAGUCGGUGCUCCGGAAUCAACAAAGUUAACUCAUUGUAUUUUCAUAAAUUAAAAGGGAUUUCUCUUCUUUUCUUUGUCAAUUACAGUGCAUGUAUAAAAGUUUUCUUACUCCGAGUACACGCUAUUGUAAUGUGUUGCAACUAAUUCACUUAUAUAUCUUGGAAACAGACAGGCAAUCAACAAAGAGUAAGGCAUCUUCUGAAGAAACAAGGAAAUUUAAUACCCUAAACUAAGGAGCAGGUAGAAGGCAAAAACUGAGCACAAAUUUUUAGGAAGGGACAAACGAAAAAACCAAAAAGAAAGUAGAGAAAAAUACAGACUCAAAUUCACAACACCCAUUUUUUUUCUAUUGGAACACUUGAAAUAGUUUAUUAAAUUUAUAAUGAUGAUUUCUACGCAUAUAAAAAAAUCAACUUAAUAAUCAAUUCUCUAUAAUUUCCGCAUUACUAAAAACAUCCAAACUAAUUUUACUAAACAUUUUAGUUAUGAAUUCACCAAACAUUUUGAACAAUUCUUAUUGAUGAAUUAACAUCUCAAUUUUAGAUUUUUUGACUUAUUAGUUCCUUCAUGAGGUACUUGUAAAGCAUGCUAUAUAUAUCUCUAAGCAUUUUUAUAUAAUAUAAUUCUAUCAAAUUAACUUUUAUAGGAUGUAUACUAUAAAAUAUUCAUGCUUUAAAAUCUAUAAAAAUUAACUUUUUAUCAUUUUUGUAUAUUAACUUUUAGUUUUAGAAAUCUCAAUAUUAUUUUCAAUUUUGAUAAAUCUAGCAGAUCUAUUUUGUAUAGAUAGCCACAAAUUAAAAUCAAUAAAUUGACAAUAAAUUAUUAUAAAACAAUUUAUUGCUUGCUCUUUGGUGAUAGCAAUGUGAUUGUAAUACUAUUUUUCAAGUUUACUUAAUCUUUUAUUCUUGAUGGCAUAAUCAAGAAUAAAUAGUAAACCAAAAUUUAUAUGUUACUCUAUGUAAAUAAUUUUACUGCAGAAAUGUAGAAGAGAAGAAUUUUAAAAAAAUUGAAAGUUUUUUUUUUUUUUAUUAAAACCAUGUUAGAAUUACCUUUUUUAUAGGCAAUUCUAACAUUUAAUUUUAACAUAACCUUUAAGAUAAAAGAUUACAACUUUCUAGCUGAAAAGUACACGAUUUUAUUUCAAAUAGAAGAUGUAGGAAAACGAUCUCCCUUCUGCUGUCUGGAGCUGGGCUUCCUCUCCCUGUAAGAACAAGCAACAUCUUAUCUGCGUUGUUGUUAGUGGCCACUUCAUCGACCCAUUAGUGGGUGGAUUUUAAGAAUAAAAAGGUUUCUUUUUAGCGCAUCAUCACGUGAAAAGCAAGGAGCUUGCCACCCAUUAUAGAGUGUGGGGCACUCUUGCAUCUAAGAAUAUAUGAUCCUGAGGUUCUUCUGGUGAUGGGUAUUGGCCAUUACAUAAAGCUUCGACAAGCCCUUUUAGCUGCCUGUUAUUAGAAUUUGUAUAAUGAGCAUUCAAACUUAAACUUCUUUAAAUGGGAUGAAAACGAGUGAAAAUCAAGAAGUUGGAGGUGUUCAUCUCUAAUGCAUAGCUAAAGAUCCUUUGUAAGAAAAUACAGCUAAAGACAAAGUGUGUGUGUGUGUGACAGAGAAAUUGUCGAUAAUAGCAAUCAUUUUCUUUGUCUCGUGUCAUAUCUUCCAAAAAUCUUAAAGUAAUUGAUGAAAAAUUGGAUAUACCACUUUGUCUUCUUUAUAGCACUACUGGCCAAUAUGAGUUAAAGCAUUAAAAGGUCGUGAAAGUGGAUGCUUGACGAGCGAGUGUUUACUUGUUAAUUUUUUUAGAAGGAAUCUGGAAAAGAAUAAAGUCAUCUAUUUCACUUUGGGACAACAUUCCUCACCUCUCCCCGCCAGAGCUCCCUCCCUCCCUCCCUCCCUCUUCCGCCUCUCGGAAACCGCCGCAUCCAAUAAGGCUUCAGAUUUCUGCCAGGUGCUUCCUUUUCUAUCAUGCUUUUGUUUUUAAAAUUUAUGGGUGUUUUCAUUUAUUUUAUUGUAAUUAUUAUUCAGAGACAGAAAUUCUAUUUUAAUAAUUAAAUUAGAAAAAACAAAUAAUCGAUCCGAUGAAAUCUCUGCUAGUGAACGCAAUUCGAUUUUAAUAAGUAAAUUAAAAAAAUAUAUAAACGGAUCUGAUGAAAUCGCUGCUCGUGAACGCAAUUCAAAGAAACGCAGAGUUAGCCGAUUCUAAUAUUUUAUUUUUCAAUUUCCCCCUUAAUUUACAUGAUAUUAUCCGAUUUUUCUCACAGUUUUUGUUGUAAUAAUCAAGCCCUGAACUCUUGAACCCAAAUUUAUUUUAUUUUAUUUUUUAGUUUUAUUUUAAAGUUGAGAAUAGAAAUCAAUUCAAAUCUUUUAGGCUCGAUCGAUAAUUUGUUAAUUAGUUUAUGCAGCAGCUGGAGUGGAAGAGAUAUUACUGCCGGAAUGGCCGAAAAAUGAGCUGUUUGGUUGAUUCUUCUUUUUUGGAAUUUACCGAAUUCUUCAAAAUUAUUGUGUUUUUAACAACAAAUCGAUUUCGUUGGGUUUUAUGCUCGCUCACACAUGGAAAAAAGAAAGAAAGAAAAGAACUUUAAAUUUUAUAAUUUGGUCAUGUUAACGCGAAAAAAAUAAAAAUAACAGGUCUGCCUUGAUAACCCUACAUGAUAUAUCUUUCUUUUUAGGACUGCUCAGCUGGUCUUGAGUAUGAGGUGAAAGCUUGAGAGCAUGUGGAAGUGUAAAACAAAUGACUUAGUUCACUUCACCCCAAAGGCGUAGCUGUGCAUCUAGACAAUCUCUUUGGGAUGGGUUAUUGUUUGUGGCCUCUUCAUGUUCUAUUUGCUGGGAUAUUUAGACUGCUGAUAGUCAUCGGGGAUUGAAAAGCCUUGUUUUAUGACUCUGUUUUGUUUUCUUCUUCUUUCUUUAUUCUUUUGGGGAUGUGGUAUUCUCCUCGUUCUAUUUACACUAUUUGCUCCCUACAACAUUUAUUCUUUCAGAAAAGUUAAUAAUUGCAUAAAUAACAAGAACAGGAGGGGAGGGGAUUUGACUGUAUGUAUUUGCUUGCGAGUAAAAAUUGGUAAGCACCUGAAAAAGGUCCUGUGCUGAAUCUAAAUUGGUAAGAUGUGAUAUACUGAUAUCUAGAGAGAUAACUUAAUUUACCUAUUGAAGUAAAGCAUUUAAAUGCGUAUACAAUGUUUUUGGAACAUUAAAUAUCUAUUUGAUCAGCAUCUGUGAACCUAAAACCACAAUGAAUAGAAAUGCAAACUUGCAACAGCAGCAGCAGAAUAACCUUCAAAAUCUGCAGCAGCAGCAGCAGUUAAUGGCUCAACAAAAUAACCUCUCAAGCAUGCAUCAGCAACAGUUGGGCCCUCAAAGUAAUGUCACUGGUUUACAGCAACAGCCUCAGCCUGGUAACUCAAGCAUGCAAUCUAAUCAGAACUCUCUACACAUGCUGCAACAGCCCAAUGUUACGCUGCAGCAGCAAGCACAACAAAGUGGAAAUGCUUUGUUGCCGAAUCAAGGGCAGCAGUCACACUCACAGCUGCCACAGCAGCAAUUGAUGGCACAGAUUCAAUCACAGCCUGGACAGCUGCAACAGCAAUCAAAUCCAUUACAACGUGAUAUGCAGCAAAGGCUUCAAGCAUCAGGCUCCUUGCUUCAACAGCCGAAUGUGAUUGAUCGGCAAAAGCAGUUAUAUCAACCUCAAAGAGCCCUUCCAGAAACGUCCUCAAGUAAGUUUUUCUCAUCCUUGCAGCUCUCUAGCCUUGUUCCAACUUUAAUUUUGCAGCUUUGUGCUUUCAUGUUAGAUUAUAACAUAUUUAUUUAAAUUUCUUGAAAAUACAAUAAUGGUUCAAGUCAGUAAUGCUCUUUUGGUAGCUUUAUGAGCUAUGGCUGCCACUUAUGGCAUCAGAAAUGCCACUGCUAUUGGAGCCAUUGCAAACACAUACAUUUGUUACGACAUAAUGCCAUCCAGUGCAUUGCACCAACUAUUCACCUCUCAUAAUGGUUCAAGUCAGCAAUGCUCUUUUGGUAGCUUUAUGUGCUACUGAUGCCACUGCUAUUGAAACCAUUGCAUUCACACUCGUUUUUUACCACAUCAUGCCCUCCAGCUCAUCGCAUCAAUUGUUCACCUCUCAUUUUGAAUUUAUCGGACAUGAAUUUUAAAAAUAUAUGUAUAACUGGACAAUGCAUUUGACACUAUGGUAACUAAUCAUCAGCCAAUUGAUUUUUAUGGGAAGAAAGAAAUUAGCAAGUGGACUAACUCUGAGGCACUUAAGGUUUGGUGUGCUGAUAAAUCAUCACCUUGCUGGAAAAUCUCAUGAUCACCUCCUCGAUGCUAAUUCUGUAAGGCAUGUGAAGUGUUACAUCCUUAACUUGCUAAGGAACAAGGACUGUGAUGCAUGGCUAUCUAUAUUUUAUGAUUGAGAUGGUUUAUUUUAAAGAUUUUCCUGGUUAGGAGGUAAAGUGUCACUUUUGUGCUUUUCUUCCAUGAUAAAUUGUUUGAG
rnacentral:lncRNA from 1 species